GAGGAAACAGUCACAACUCACUUAGUGUGAACUCCUUCUAGAGAAUAAUAAUUGUUUGAUCAGUUAUAGGGACAAACCCAUCUCUUCCUCACCGAAUAGCUAAGGCAUGAUGUUCAUGUUUCAGCUUUAUCUAAAGAUGGAGAAUGAUAACUAGAAUUAAGAUUGAGCUAAUUAACUAAUUACAGCUUUUAAUCCACACAAUUGGGACAAGUAUACUUUAAACUUAUGGAUAGGCACCCAUUCUAGAUGAAACAAGAAGGUUGUCCUGGAGGUAUAUAUUGAUUCCAUGCCGACACAAAUUCAAAUUAACCUUCUGCAUGUGUCCCAUGUCUUACCAAAAGGGAAACAUAAUGCAUUAUUAAAGGGAAUUGACAUAUGUUAGAAUAACUAAUAGUGUAGUAAGAGUGAGAAGUGUGGAGCUUUAAGGGUAAUUUGGAAGAAAUGCACUUCUUCAGCUUAUUACUAAGAUUCGGAAUUAUGUUAAUGAAAUCAUGUUAGAUUAUUAGAAUCAAUUAACUUACCUCUAUGAAAGUAGAGGUAUUCUUUUUUGGUCACGUCUUUCAUAGACAAAGAAAAAGUCAUACAAACAAUCAUUAAUCUCAACUAAUGAAUGCAUCAUUUCUAAUGCCUGUAUAAUGGAAGCCAAGAUCUCACUGAUUGAUUAAGGUAACAGCAUUCAAUCUAGUUGUCCUCAGACUGCCAACAACCAAAUAGAACAUUCAUCAAUAGCUCACGAAAAUGUUGACUUAAAUAUUAUGAACUUUUUAAACACAUCAACUUAAAUGUACCUCAGAGAACAAAAUAUUACAGUAAUAAGACUAAUUACAUAAUUUUCAUUUCUAAAUAUUCAAAUUAUUGAAAGAUGUUCAUCAUGAUAACUCUAUCUUAAUAGCUUGAAUAGAUUACUCAUCAAUCCUACUUAUUCUUUUUAAAUAUCAAAUGUUUUGACUUGAAUAUUAUGAACUUCUUAAACAAGUCAACUUAAAUGUACCUCAAAGAACAAAAUGUUACAGUAAUAAGACUAAUUAAAUAAUUUUCAUUUCUAAAUAUUUAAAUUAUUGAAACACGUCCAUCAUGAUAACUCUACCUUAAUUGCUUGAAUAGAUUACUCAUUUAUCCUACUUAUUCUUUUUUUAAUUCCAUAUGGAGACCUCUUGCUUGGGAAGACUGAGCCUAGCUAGCAGUAGUUAUUUUUUCUUCAUUAACUUCAAAAACAAUUUUGACUGGACCAAGAUCAAUUCAUAUAAGGUGACAUCAAGCCAAGACAACAAUCUACAAAUUAGAAAAUAGAGUACAUAUAUAUGGCUUAAAAAUUUACAAACCUUUAUCAAAAAGCAAAUAUGCAUCUCUACAUACAUCCUUCAAAAUUCAAAAGAAGUAAAUCUACAUCCCAGGUUAAUUUUUAUAGUGACAGUUACGUAAUAGUUUCUCUAUUAACACUUAAACAAGAAAACAAACCCUAGAACUACUUAAGGAUUCCGUACAACAUUAUAAAAGACAGAUGGAGAAAUUAAUUAAUCAGAGUUCUAGACACAUACAGACAAUAAAAGAGAAUCAAAGCUACAGACACCUAAUUAGCUAGCUAUCUUUGUGUGUGUGUGUGCGCGCAUCAGCAGUCGAGCCUCUAAAAGUCCAAACAAAAAGAAAAAAUUGUAAAUUCUCUUCAUUCAUACAAACACGUAUUUAUGUGUGUGUGUGGUGUGUGUGUGUGUGUGUGUGUGUGUAUGCAACUCAUUUUUCAUGAAAAGCUAGAAACAUGCAAGAUUUGAAACGACUAGUCAUCCUAAUCUUAGAAACCAUUAAAAAGAAAGUGCAGGGAGUAGCAAAAAGCGAGAAUAUAUUCCAUUACCAGAAAUGUUAGAAGAAACAGUUAGGGUUUUGAGCUGAGCGUCGAUCUCUGAGAGGAAAAGCGAGGCAUCUUUAAACGGUUUAGUAAGCUCCUGCUCAUAUUUGGUUAACAUUUCACAGUAAGCUUCCAUGAACUGGUCCAGUGCUGGGUCAUCACCUACACGAGAAGCUGCUGUUCCAGCUGAUGACCUACUCAUGAUGGCUUCCCCGGAUGCACAUGCUUCAUCUAACCUAGCCACAACUUGUGCAGGAGCCCCGACCUGAUCAGAUAAUUUGAUGAACAUGUAUUAUGUAGAUCAUGACAUCAUCAAAUCUACAAGAAAAUUAAGAAAUCCUCAUGCACACAUGUUUUUUUAAAUUUUUUUUUAUUUUCUUUCACAAAUUCUUCUUCACCUUUUGACAAUUGACAUAAGAGGCCAAGAGGCGAGGGAAGUGAGGGUGAGCAAAGAUCCUAGCCUUGAUGGAGUUAGAACUAUUGUCGGUGCAGUCGUACUGAACUUCUUGUUGCUGUGGUGGGGGCAUCAUCAAAUUAGGAGGAAGAAACGCCUUAUUAUUAUGAUCAUUUGUUGUUCCUGCACUAGAAUUCAUCAUCAUUAUAGAACAAAGUGAUCCAUUCAUAUUAUUAUUAACAUUACCAUUAUUAUUGCUACUACUCUCUCCCAAAACCAUCCAACAAUUAGGGUUUCUAGUGCUACUAGAUCCUCCACUUUCCAUAAAUCUCCCUUUCUCUCUCUCAGAGAAAGAUCCUGCUGCUAGCUAGGUGUACUCUGAAAGAACACUCCCGGUUUUGUAGCUAACACUCUCAGUAGUAAUCUUUUUCGCAGAUGAUGAAGUGCAGAGAAAGAAAAUCCUAGUCAGUACUCUUUAAUCUUUAUAAUAUUCAUUCCGUGUAAUUUAUCCGAAGAUUGUGAGAAAGAGAGAGAUAGAGAGAGCACGAAGAUAGAUAGAUAACGUGCGCCUCUGCAAAUACUACUGAGUUUUUUGCCUUCCCAAUGAAUGAAAAUUGAACAAGCUAGCAGCUAGCACACUUCCAAUCACCUCGUUUAUUGCAGAGACUCUGAUGCAGUACUACUAUUACUUGCCUCAUCUCUCAAAGAAAGAAACAGGAGACAGAGAGAGAGAAACUAACAAUGGCUUGUGGAGCUCGCUAGAGAAUCAUGAAUCAUAUAUCAAGUUGGAUGACAAGCUAGCAAAAUUAAAGCUUUUGAAACGAUUGAUGUGAACCAAAGCUUACUACUGUAGUAGCCUUCUCUCUCUUUCUUUUAUGAUGAGCGAUGCUGAUCAAAUUAAUCUGAACCGUCCAUCGGUUGAUAUUCUCUUGGGAUUUUGCGUUGGAAGACAAGGAUAGGCAGGCACUGGCACCGGCACUGGCAUUGGCAUGGGCAUAAGUACAUGCACAACCGUUUAUUAACCUUUUCUUUGUUUUUACUUUUACAUAACGACGGCGUUUGGUCAUUGAUGAGUCUGUUCUCUUUUUAAUUAACUUUUAACAACAUUUUAAUGUAAGAGGGCCAGAGUCAAGGGGUCUAAUCAGAUUAUUCAUAAUCGAUUGAAUUGGCAUUUGGUGGUGGCAAUAAUUUAAACAAUGAAAGUUGGGUUCAAUUUGGGGGGUUAGAGAGAAAGAGAACAAAAGCUAAAGCUCUGAUAAAGUUCGUUGGUGGGACACUCCUAUGUCCUACCAUUCUCUCUUCCCAAUCUCUCACUCUCUCUCUGUUGGAGUCCUUCUGUAUUUGCUUUGCUUUUAUCUCGCUUCCACAUAAUGACAUACCACUCUCCUUUAUACUCUUGCAUUUUAUGGCUUUAUUAUGUAUAUGUUCAUGACUUCAUGCCCUAUGUAACAUGAAAUAUGUGUUAAAUGAAGAUUGAACAGAUUGAACGACAUUUCAACAUGUCACAAUCUGGUCAAGUGUAAGGAGAGUUUUAAGGAGAAAUUGUAAAGUUGACUGGAAGUUUCACGUUAGGAAUUUAAUGUGAAACUAUCAAUUAAUAAGAUUAUGCCACGUGGUCUCGUUAAGUUAAACCUUAAAAUUUCAAAAUUAAUUUUUACUUUUUCAACGCUUCGGAUUUGUGCGGCUGUGUUCUCUAUCUAACAGUCUAACUCAAUUCUUCUCUCUCUCUCGCCAACACAUCUCUCAUCAUUGAUCUAGCCGAACUGAUAAAAUCUCCUUCAUCAGCCAUCUCCGCCACAAUCUUGUUAUUCACCCAUCUUAAUUUAUUUUGCAUGUCAAGUGAUUAUUAGUCUCAUCUGGGAGCUAUUGAUAACUAAUAAAACAAAUUAAACCCAAUAAAACAAAAUAAAAAUGGUAGAAGUGGGCUAGUAUAACAUAAAAUUUAACAGAAAAUUAGAUCUCUUUUCAAAAGAUACCUAAUUUGUCAAGCAUCAUUGGAUGUAGUCACAAGAAUAUUAAACAACCAGGUAGUGCACAUUGUAAAUAGUAGGAGAAAUUUGUAAAUCCUACUAUGCACUCUAGAAUUACUCGAGUUUAAAAGAUAAUAUAUUUUAAGUCACUAAGCUAAAAGCAUAGUGGUUAGAACUCAAGCUUCAUAAUUGUGAGAUCAUGGGUUUGAGUCCCCGCAACACAUUCUUUUUUCAAUUUAAGUGAAGACAAUUCUUUUCCUUUCGAAAUGUGAGUGAAGUGGGCGUUCCUCAAAUAUUAAAGAAGGUAAAAAUCUGGAUUGUGCUAUAUAAAAUUUAUAAAUUAAUCUCAGUAAUUAUUUGAUUAUAAAUAUCAGUAUACUAAUCUCAUUAAAUAUGAGUUAUAAUCUAAGUAUUAAUUUCGUGUAAUUAAAAAAAAAUGAUAGAUUUUGGUGGAACAAUUGAUGAACAAAAGGACGUGCACAACUUUAGGUCGGGAGGAAAGGAAUGGUCUCAAGUUGUAAUAUUUGGAGGGCUUUGCAUUGGACCAAUAAGAAAUGUAUUGAAUUAAUUAAUAUAUUAAAUUGACUUAGAAAAGAGGGGGAGUUGCAGAGAAACUGUAGCUUCAUUAAUAUUGUUAAUAAAAUCUUAUGCAGUUUCUCAUUUUUAUUGCUAAUUGAUAGACGAAAUGCAACCGUUAAAAUUAAAUAAAGUAUGAACCACGCAAGUGUUUUAUGUUUUUUCUUUAAAUUGACUAUGACAAUGAGACUAUAACUCAUAUUAUAUGAGAUUAUUACUAAUAUUUCUCUAAUAUUCGAAAGACUCUCCCUUCACUCAAUUAUAAGUUAUAAUUGAUGAAGAACUUGAGCCCCCACAAAAGAUUUGUAGGGGUUUGAAUUGUUUGUGAGGGCAGCAAUCCAACAACUUAGCUAAAGAUCAGUUUCAAUUGCUCUAUGUUGCUCACACUUUUGUCUUUGGUUUAUUGGGACUUAAGCUGUUUGUAUGAAGUGUUCAAACAUAUUUAAGGUCUAUUUGGUAUGGAAGUAGGGUGGUUAUGGAUUUUAAGUUAUUGUAUUAAAAUAUUUGAUAAAUAUUAACUAUUAUAAUUUUGAAGUUAACUUGAUUUGAUUCAUAGCUUGUAAAAUAAAAAAAUUAGUAACAUAUUUAUUAUUUUUAAAAUUAUAUUUACGGUAUGUUAUUAAAUUUUAUUUUAUAAUUGUAAUUUUUUUUUUUUACAAUAACUAUAAUUUUUUUUAAAAAAGACAAUAAUUAUAACUUAGAAAUGACUGCUGGACCAAUUAGAAAAACCCCAAUAAGUCACGAGGUCAUGAGUCCAGUACAAUGACCUCUACUUUACAUUUAGACCUCACCAACCAAACGUUAUCAUUGGAAUUCUGUAAUUAUUCUCUUUUGAUCUCUUCCAUAUCCAACGUACACCAAUGUACAUCAUUAUUUUUGCCUUUUCAGAUUAUCAAAAUGAGAUGAAACAGAAAUAUUUUCUCAUUUUUAACAGUUUUCAUUCAUUGGAUCACAACAAUGAGUGAUAAAUAAUUAAAUGCUUAUACUCUUAGCUUUAUUUUGUCUUUUGAUCUUAAAAGUACUAGAUAAAGAAUACCACUCUGAAGACGUUUCCAAGCACGCAAGCUAUAUAUUCUUUUCCAUGCACGUUUAAAUCUUCUAGAGCAUGAAAAACAAGUUGUCAUGGCUGCUAAGUGGGUGUCCCCACAGCAAAUCGUAAUAAAUUAAAAAACGACAAAGGUGGGGUGCACCAUUCAUAUAUUUAAUGAAUCCAUUUUAAUAGAAAUUUAUAAGGAUUGACAAAACCAUACUCACUGGUGGUGAUAAAAACAGUUUCUCAAACUGAGUUAAGAGUACAUCCUAUCUAGUAUCAUUAUAUAUUGCGAGCAGAUUUUUUAAUUGAAAUCAACAGACCCAAACCCUCAAUUAUAUUAACCACUCGGCUCAGCCUGAGUGAUCAGGGCUGCUGCCCUCUAACUUGGAGGGCAGCAGUUCGAACCCCCAUAAAAAUAUUGUGGGAAUAUUUUUUUUCUUAAUUAAUUUGAGUGAAGGUAGUCUUCUCUUUUACCCAUGAGUGAGGAGUAGACAUCCCUAAAAUAUUUGUGAGGGUUAAAAUCUAGGUAGAGCUUCAUUAGCAAUUAUGUAAGUUGGUCCCAGUACUAGUCUGAUUUGUAAAUAUCAGUUAUAGUCUCAUGCAUAUGAGUUGUAAUCUGAGCAAUAGUCUCAUGUAAUCAAAAAAAAAAAAAACCCUCAAUUAUAUUUAUACAAUAUAAAGAUAUAUUUGACAUAUUGUAUUAUAUUAGCUUUGAAAUCUAAUAAUAUUAUAUAACAUUUGGUAUUAUAAUCUACUAUAUUAGUUUUAUAUUAAAAUAUAUUAUUAUUAUUAUUUUAUUACUAAAUAUAUAUUAAAUUAAUAGUUAAAUAAUUAUUUUUAUAUUAAUUACUUAUAUAUAUAAUUAUAUUACAAUAUAAUAUAAAAUAGCAAUAUUAAUUAAAUAUUAUUAACAUAUUAAUCAUUAAACAACAUAUUAUUAAAAUAUUAUGGGACCCACCAUUUAAUCCCAGCAUGGGUGGAAAAAUUAAACCAUGGGGCCAUGGCAUAAGUAGUCUAAGAUAACUCAAAUAACUCAUUUUAUAUUAUUUUUAUUUUUUAAUAAGAAUAAUUAUUUAAUAUUAUAUUUUACAGUGGUAUAAAAAAAUAAGAAAUAUUUUUAUAAGUAAAUAAAUAUAGAUAAUUAUUUAUUACAUUAUAACUAAGUAAAAGUUUACAUUAUUGUAAUUCAUUGUAAAAAUACUUUAUAAAAAUAACUAUUAUUUAAAUAUUACAUUUUUACAGUAAAAAAUAGUAAUAUUUUAAUUAUUUUAAUUAGAUAAUUAAAUUUAUAAUAUAAUCCAAUCCGAUGCUACAUUAAAUAAAAUACAAAAUAGUAAUAAUUUUAUGAAUACCAAAAUGAAAUCAUAUUUUGUCCCAUCCUAUUCUAUCUAAUCAUGCAUAUCAAAUGGUACUCUAAUUUUAUGAAUAACUCAUGAAUAAACCCUUUAUGGUCAUGCCUGCAAUAUAAUAAUUGUUGUGCCAUUGCCGGCUCUCCACCAUUGGUUAGUUUAGUUUGCAAAUAUGAAGUAAACAAUGACACAUGGUGCCAUAGCUAAAUAUCUAUUAUGCCUGGCCAUUGGCGAGCUAGCUUUGGAGGAAUAAAGAAUAAAUUAAGGUUCUCCCAUGAUUUAAUCUCUUCUUAAUUAAAAAUAUAUGUGAGUAAUUAAUAGUUAAUAAAUAAAAAAAAUUAAAUUUUACUCGUACAUUAUUAUUAUUAAAAAACACAUGACACCAAAUUUUAAAAAACUUCCGAGGAUCCUAAAGAAAUAAAGCAGCAGCCAAGGCUCAAUAAGUACAAGCAUGUGGAACUGUGGAGCUAAUAGGACAAAAGGCAAGGUGGUUUGGGUUAGAAGCAUAAAAGAAGGCCUAGUAAGCCAUGUAUAAAUAAGUUAGCCAAGUAAAAAGUCACGUGGGUAUGUGAUCUAAGCCAAGUAAACACAUAGGUUAGGCAGUUAGCAUCCAUUUGUUAGAUAAGCUUUGAUACGAAUUCAACUAGAGAAAGAGAAAAAAAAAAAAAAAGGAACAGUACUUGGCUUAUCUCUCCAAGCUCGCCUAUACUUUAAUUAAUUAAUUAAUUUAUUGUCAUACUUAGCCCCCCUUAUCUCCAUCAUCUAUCAUAUUUAUUUAUGUUAUUAAAUACUUCUUUUAUAUAUAUAUAUAUAUAUAUAUACACACACACACAUACGUAUGUAUGUAUGUAUGUAAAAAUAAGGAGAUAACCCUCUUUUUAUAGUCACAUAACCAUAUAAAUGAAGUAAAUAGUUAUUGAAUAGAUACAUUAUUAGUCAUACGUUUUUAUAAAAUAGUCGGAAUUAUAGAAGAUGAAAAGUUGUUUUGUGGGAGAGAUAAAAUGUUGCUUUAAUAAACAUCCACAUGAUUAAUUAUAAUUAUUUCAUAGCACUCACCUUUAAUGUUUAUCGUACAAAUAAUAUGCCUCAUAAGACCUUGGCUAGCAAAAACCCUAUGGAAAAGUAUUAAUGAAAGAAAAAGAGCAUACUAUUCAUUUAUAUUUUAAAGAAGUGCAAACUGCUUCAAUUAAACCUCAUUAAGAAAAACUAAAUGGAACAGAAGCUUAAUGAAGGAAAAGGAGUACAAUGCAUGUAAUCCUCAAUAUGAAUAAUGUUAUGAAUUUAUUAAAAUAAAUGUGGAUGUUCAUAACAUAUAUCUCUUAGUUUCUCCACUAGCAAUUUUUUACUUCCAGUUAACUCUCACUAUCUCACGAGGAAUCAUGAUCUAUAACGUUUCUAUUAAUUUCGUGUAGUGAUUGUGUAACUAUAAAAGGAGAGCUCAUCUCUUUGUUUUGUACACACUUAAAAUGAAUAAAAUUAUUUUAUAAUAUAUUGGUCUUUUAUUUUACUCUUUAUUUUGUGUUGUUGGCUAAUAGCUUUUCUAAUACAUUAUCAGCACAAUAUUUUGAUCAGCUAUUAAUUCUUUUGUUUCUUGUAUCUAGCAAUUUUAAUUAUUAUAUAACUAUAAUUUUUUGUCAAUGAUAACAUGUUGUAUUAGCUAUUAUUGUAAUGUAUGUAUUUGUAAUAAGAUUGUCUUCCUAAGGUUGCAUAUAUAUUGUUCAUCUUUAUUUUUGUCUCUUGAAAUAUGCACAAUUGUUGGUAUAAAAUUUGGGAAUGAAUUUUGUGAUGUGAAUAUUAUGAUAUGUGAUGAUUAUAGAACUUCACUAUUAUUAUAUUACCGUGAGUGAUUAAAUGGCAUAUCUAGUAUUUGUUUGUUGAUAAUGAAUCAAUUAUUUAUCUUUGUUUAUAUUGUCUUAUAACUAUAUGAAAAUGUCAAGUCUCACAAAAUUUGUAUUUGUGGCACUUGAUAUCUCUACCGAUAAUUAUCCAUUAUAGGUCUUGGAUGCUGAAAUCUAUCUUAAUGCAAUAAAUCUUUGAGAUACUAUUAAGGAAAAUAAUGAUGCAUCAACCCAAGACCAUGCCAAGGUGAUAAUUGUUCUCUGCCACCAUUGUCAUGAACAAUUAAAAAUUGAGUGUUUUACGGUCAAAGAACUAUCUACCCUUUGGGAUGGUCUUAGUGAUAGAUUUAAUCACCAAAAAACUAUAUUAUACUUCGAAAAGCUUGUUAAGACUCGAUACACUUAUGAAUACAAGAUUUCAAAUAUGUCAGUCAACAUAAUCGACAUUAUUAAAAAUUGUUUCUUAAUUAAAAUUAUGUAGAGUAGAAAUUACUUAUGCAGAUUUGUUGGAAAAAAAUUCUCUACUUUCCAUGCUUUGAAUUUGCUCUUACAACAACAAUAUCAAGAGUGGAGAUUUAGAAAGUAUUUUGAAUUAAUCUCGUCUUUUAAUGGCUGAAAAAAAUAAUGAAGUUUUAUUGAUUCUCAUUUAAUUAGAUCUAUACCUCUCCCAGAAGUAAAUGGUAUUUCAGUCAAUAAUCAUAGUGCUAAUUAGAUAUUUAUCGAGGUUGCAGUUACAAAAAUAAUCAAGGCUAAGGUGGUUAUAACAAGAAAUAUCGAUCAAACCACUUGAAGUGAAAUAACAAUAAUGAGAAGUAAGAGAAAAUCCACAAAAGAAAUCUUUAAAGGAUCAUGAAAAUGUUUGCUUUAGAUGUGUUAUAAAAGAACACUGGUUCGUGUUUUUCAUACAUUAAAACAUUUAGUUCAUCUUUAUCAAGCAUCCAAAAAGGCAAAAAAGGAAAAAAAUUAAGUCAAAUUUUGUUGAUCAUGAAAAUCUAAUUGAUAUAACUCAUUUGGAUGUUUUAGAUUCUUUUUUGAAGAUCCAAAUGGUAAAAUUGACCAUUUGAUCGAUGAUGAACAUGAGAAGACUGAAUAAAAGUGCUAUACUUUGAAGUGUUUUUUUUUUUAAUUUAAGUUUUUUGUGUUUAAAAUUUAAAACAAUACUAGUGUAUUUAAAGUUUGGUGUGUUUCUUUACAGUUAUGGUGCUUGUAAAGUUAUGUUGCAAGAGUGUAUAUAAUUUUGAGUAUUUUUUGAGAGUUCGAUGUGUAAUUUUUCAAUUUCCUUAAUAAAAUAGUUUCUGUAAUGUUUUCUUUAUACUACUUGAAUAUUCUCUAUAUUCAGUUGACUUAUUUUAUAUUUAUGUGUGAAGAUAAACAAUGAAUUAGAACAAUCACUUGAUGAAGGAUGAAGAUGGAUGUUUGAUGGAUAAUGUGACCAUGCACAAAAUUCCAUGAAAUGAAAAAUAUUUCUUUAAAUUAAUAUUAGCUAAGGGUAAUGUUAAUACAAUAUCUGGUUUUACUAAUCUAAUUAAAGGCUCUGAUAAAGCUAAUAUUAUUUACCGAAUGACACAAAAUUACAAAUAAAUGAUGCUUUAUACUUCAAUAGAUCUAAUAGAAAUCUACUUAGUUUCAAGGAUAUUCAUCAAAAUGGAUACUACAUUGAAAUAUCUUGUGAAGAUAAUUCUAAAUUUCUUUGCAUUACUUCAAUUAUUUUAUGUCACAAGCACGUAUUAGAAAAACUACCGUCUCUUUCUUCGAGGUUGUGUCAUACAACUAUAACAACAAUAGAAAUAAAUCUUAUAAUGAACCAGAAGUUCUAUGAUCUAAUGAUUUUUAAACUUUGCCAUGAUUGACGUGUGCAUGCUGGAUCAAUCAUGAUGCAUCGUAUUAUAUGAAAUUUACAUGGACAUCAAUUAAAGAAUCAGAAGAUUCUUUUGCCAACUGAAAGUUCGUUUGCUACUUGUUCUCAAGGGAAAUUAAUAAUUUAGCCAUCCCCAAUGAAAGUAAACCUUGAAUCUCUUAAAUUUCCAAAAAGAAUCCAAAUGGAUAUAUAUGGCCCUAUACAUCCAAGUUGUGGACCGUUUCAUUAUUCAUGGUCUUAAUAGAUGCAUCAACUAGAUGUUUACAUAUCUUUUUACUUUCUAACCGCGGUGUUGCAUUUGCUAUUAAAAGAAUUAUAAUUGAUAAUACUUGUGAAUUUAUAUCUAAAUCUUUUAAUGAUUAUUUCAUGUUUAUUAGAGUUUAUGUUGCGCAUUGUGUCGCACACACUAUUACACAAAAUGAUUUAACUGAAUCUUUAAUUGUAAGACCGUUAAUUUUUAGAUCAAAUUUACCUUUUUCAUGUUGGAGCCAUGCAAUAUUAAAUGUUGCAUCAUUAAUUCGCAUUUGACUAAGUUCUUAUCAUAUAUAUUCACAUUCACAACUUGUUUUUUGCCAACAACCAAAUAUUUCUCAUUUGACAAUUUCUAGAUGUGCUUUUUAUUUCCCAUUUGCUCCCCCACAAAAAAAUAAAAUGGGUUUGCAAUGAAGAUUUGAAAUUUAUGUUGAUUUCAAGUCUCCAACAAUGAUUAAGUUUCUUGAACCUUUAAUUGGAGAUUGUUUUACCACAUGAUUAGCAGAUUGCCAUUUUGAUGAGCAAAUUUUCUCGUUGUUUGAAAGAGAAAGAACAAAAAUAAAUGAACUACAUGAAAUUAUGUGGCAUGCAUUAUUAUUAUCUAAUCUUGAUCUUCACACAAAUCUAUGUAAAGUUGAAGUUCACUGAAUCAUUCAUUUGUAAAAUAUUACAAAUCAAAUUCCUGAUGUAUUGACUAUUUCAAAAAAAAAUAAUAAAAUCACAUAUUCCAGCUAAAAAUGCCCUAACACGUGUUGGAAUCCCUAAAAGACAACAUGAUAAAACUAAUGAAAGUAAAUCAUGUCUGAAACAUAAAAGAUCAAUUGGCUUUAAAGAUAAAAUUCUUGGAAGAGGAAAACACAAGAAAAGUUACAAAAUGAAAUUAGUACUCUAGAAGAGUCGUUGCCUAUUAAUAAAAUAAUAGAUUUUGAUCAAUUAAGUAGUAGUAGUCUCGUUGACCCAAAAGAAGAAAGUUUGCCAAAAAUGAAAGAAGUAUUAGUUUCUCCUAAAGAAAUACAAAAAAAUAAAAUUACGAUUGGUUUUGUUGGUAUAGAAAAAUCUUGGGAUCGAAAUGAAAUAAGUAUUGACGAUAUUUUUUCAUUUAUUGUUGCUCUUAAUAUCACCAAUGAUGAUGGGGAUCUUGAUCCAAGGAUUGUGGAAGAAUGUCGACAUAGAAAUAAUUGGCCAAAGUGGAAAAAUAUUAUUUAACCAGAGCUAAAUUAACUUCCAAAAUUAAAAGCAUUUGGACCAAUAGUUUUGACACAUGAAUAUGUCAAAUUUGUUGGAUAUAAGUGGGUAUUCGUUUAGAAAAAAAAAAUGAGAUUGUAAGAUAGAAAGCAAGGUUAGUAGCAAAAAGUUUUUCUCGAAAACCUGACAUUGAUCAUAAGAUGUUUUCUCCUAUUGUGGAUGCAGUUACAUUUCAAUUUCUGGUUAGUCUCACAACCUUUGAAGGACUUGAUAUGUACCUUAUGGACAUUGUGACUGCCUAUCUAUAUGGUGCUGUCGAUACAUAUAUUUAUAUGAAAAUCCUUGAAUGAUUUAAAAUUCAGGAAGCAAACAAAAUUUAAACCUCUUAGUUUAUAUUCUUUAAAACUAUAAUGUUCCUUGUAUAGAUUAAAAUAAUCUGGGCGUAUGUGGUAUAAUUGUUUAAGCUACUUUUUAUUAAAACAGAGAUAUGUAAACAAUCCAAUUUGUCUUUGUAUUUUUAUUAAAAAAUCUGAAAUUAGAUUUGAAAUAGUUGCAUUAUAUGUUGAUGAUUUAAAUCUCAUUGAAACUCUUGAAGAAUUUUAAAAAAUAACUUAUUGUUUGAAAAAUGAGUUUGAAAUAAAAGAUCAUGGAAAACAAAAUUUUGUCUUGACUUACAGAUUGAGUAUUUGCCAAGUGGAAUGCUAAGUCGAAUACUCUUACAUCAAUUAACAUACACUAAAAAAGUUUGAAGCAUGUUUAUAUGGACAAAGCCCAUCCAUUAAGUACUCCAAUUGUGGAAUGAUCAUCUGAUGUGGAAAAAGAUCAAUUUCAUCCUAAGGAAGAUGAUAAAGCAAUUCUUGGUCUUGUAGUACUAUAUUUAAGUAUAAUUGGUAGGGGUGUUCGCGGAACGAAUUUUGCGGACUUCAAUCCAUACAUGAUCCACGAUUUUGUGGAUUAUAAAUUUUCAAUCUAAUCUAAUGCACAGCUUAGUGAAACUCAAUUCAAAUCCAACCUAUAUGUCUACGGAUCGGAUGCGAAUUUGACCCAAUUCAUAUCCAAUCCACCAUUUGGCGGAUUGAUUUGUGAAUUAAAAUUUUUAAGUUUGUCCAAUCUAUGAAGUAAUUAAAUUUAAAAAAUAUAAUACAAAAAUAAUUUAUUAAAUUAAAAAAAUCUAAUGUAAAAAUAAUUUUACUACCAAUUAAAUUCAAAAUUGAACAAAAUUUAAAUAAACUAAUUGUUUAAAUAGAGCUAGAAUAAUACAUUCAAAAUUUCAAAAUAUAACACAAAAAAAAAAUCAUUUGUUUAGAUCAAUAAAUAAAAAUUAACUAAAAUUUUGAAUUUAAAUGUUGAAACUUGAGAGUUUGGAUGUAAUAGGAAGAAAUUAAGAAACUUGAAGAGCUUGAAAAGAAAGUAAAAAAUUAAGUUUAAUUACCUCAAGUGGUGAAGUGAAACAGUGAUGGCUUGUGCGUGCGGUGGGGUAGAGAUUUGGCAUUAUAUGCCAAAAUGUUUUGUUUGGCUUAGAGUUUUUGUUUUGCUUUAGAAUUUUUAAUGUUUAGGAAGCUAUUUUUAUAUGCCAAAUAUUUAAUUGUUUUUGAGUUUAUAUUGUUAUUGAAUAAGAUAUAAUAUUGUGUUAAUUUUGCUAUACUUUAAUUAAUUAAUUAAUUAGUAAGUAGCAUUUAAUUUUGCUAUACUUUAAUUAAUUAAUUAAUUAGUAAGUAGCAUUGCUAAAUUUAUGAGUUUUUUUUUUUUUGCGGAUUCACAGAUUUUUACAGAUUUACAGAAGUAAAUCCAUAUCCAAUCCACCGACUGCAGAUUUUUAAAUUUUCAAUCCGAUCUGAUCCACCAAUCCACGGAUCAGAUUUUUACAGAUCAAAUUUUUACGGAUCGAAAAAAUUAAGUGGAUCAGAUUGGAUUCUGAACACCCUUAAUAAUUGGUACACUCAUGUAUCUUGCAAACUGUUCUUGUUGUGAUAUUACAUUUUCAAUUAAUUUAUUUGCAAGAUACAAUUCUGCACCAACUCAUAGGCAUAGAAUAUAUAAAACAUGUAUUUCGCUAUUUGCAUUGAACAUGAAAAAAAAUCCCUACCAACUAUAACAUUUAAAAAAUUAAUAGAUAAAAUUGGGAUGCGUCAACUCAAAGAUUUUUGUCCAGAUCUUGAAGCAUUUACAUCAAGAUGAGGGGUAGUAUACUUGUUGGGAAAAAUAAUUUAUUUUGGAGGAAAUUUCAUGUGUGUACUCUUUUUUCUUACUAGGUUUUUAUCUCAUAAGAUUUUUCCUAAUAAAGUUUCAAUGAGACAACUUUAUACCUUCAAAAUUAUUUGUUUUAAGACAUCAAUAAAUAAUAUGCUCUUUUUCCUUUACUAAUAUUUUUUUUUCCUAUAAGGGCUUUUUUAGUAAAGGUUUUAAUGAAACAUUUUCUUUUGUAAUGAACAUUCAAGGGGGAGUGUUAUGCAUUUAUUAAAAUAAAUGUGGAUGUUCAUAAACAUAUAUAUCUUAAUCUCCCAUCCCUUCAAGAAAUUAUGAUCUAUAAUGUUUCCAUUAAUUUUAUGUAAUGAUUAUAUAACAAUAAAAGGAGAUCUCAUCUCUAUGUUUUGUAUACACUUAAAAUGAAUAAAAGUAUUUUAUAAUAUAUUGCUCUCUUAUUUCACUCUUUAUUUUAUGUUGCUGGUUAAUAGCUUUUUCUAAUAAAUAACUCCCUUCGUUAAAUACUCUCCCUUCAAAAUGAUAUGCCUACUUCAAUGAUCAACUAUAUUUUAUUGUAAUGUGAAAUAAGUUACAAGGUCAGCACCAUCCAUUAAAAGUUUGAAUACACAAAAUAAAUUAGAGGCACCGUCAUUUUGGAUUGACGAAUAUUGCUUUGUAUAUAUCUUCAGAAUUUUGCUAAUUUUAUUGAAUAAAAUCAAGUCUUAGCAUCCGUAUCAAGGAUUAUCUUGAUAUUUUCAAGUUUAUGCUGAACAUAUUUUAAUAUACAAUUAUGUAGUUUUUCCAAUGCAUUUGUAGGCCCAAGUUGGAAAAAAAAAUAUGGUACUUAAGGAUCAAGAGAACUACAUUAUAUUUUAAAAUAAAAUAAUUUUUUUAACAUGAAAUCCUUCUUUAACACUGGCACUCCACUUGGUAAACUUUAAUCCACAAAUUUAAAAAAAAAAUUUGGUUGGAAGAUCUUUCAUAUUGAAUUUUAUUCUUAAAAGAAAUAAAAUCAUAAACUCAUCAAGAGUCUUUGCAUUUUGAUAUGAUCAAUAAAUUUUGCAGAAAUUGUAAACUUAAUUUUUAAUAAAAUCACACAGCAAAGUGGAUAAUGAUAUAUCUUGCUUUUAAUAAAUUUUCACUUAAGUGCUUAUACUUUGUAAGUCUAGAUUACUAUAAUAUACACAAUUAUGAUUAUGGCUUUACCAAGAAUAGACAAGGUGCAAGCUUUUUAAUUUAGGACUUCAAGUACUUGUUUCAAGCAUUUUAUCCUUCAAGGAUAAGUAUAUAGAUUCUUCAAUUUAAUUUUGACAUACUAUAGUUCAAAUUCACAUUUUAUUAAUAAAUUUUACGACUUUAGGUGUACGGAUUUCAAGUUCAACAUUUUUUAUAUUUUGAUGUUAAAUUUUAGGUCUUUUACUGUAUGGAUUACAUGCCCAAAUUUUAGCCAGUCAUAUAAAUCAAUAUUUUUUCACAUACAUUUUUAUAGUUCAGAAUCUUGAAUAUUUUAUCAUAACAACUAAAUUUUUAUUGACAAUAAUUUUAUGUCAAUUUCAAUUUUUCUCUUGCUCCAACUACCAAUCUUGAAUAUUUUUUCCUUCUUUUUCCGUUUAUCAAUCUUGUUUUUUAAGUAGCAUUAAAGACCUUUUCAAGUUUCGGUAGCACAACUAUCUAUGCACUGGAAAUGGACACCGACGAAUUGAUUCAGAGGUGCCAAGAAAUAUCGUUGGAAGGAGAAAAAAGAGGUAGAGUAUCCUUUAAAAACAAAAUGAAGACGAUGGGCCAGAAAAUUGUGGAGGGUUGUUUUUGGGGAAGGUGCUUCUGAAUAGAGAAAUCAACAUAGGGGGUCUUAGGGCAGCCCUGCACCAAGUGUGGAAAACCCUCUGAGAAGUGCAGAUUGAAGAAAUAGGGGAAAAUAUCUUCUUGUUCAAAUUCAGAGCAGAAGCAGACAAGAGGGAUAUUUUAGCAGGGGGGCCAUGACAUUUUGAUAGAGCAUUGAUAGUGUUAGUUGAGCCAAGAGGCAUUGGGGAGAUAAAUAAAUAAUCUUUCACUCACGCAUCCUUUUGGGUGCAAAUCCACAAUGUCCCCAUUCUAUGCAUGAAUGAAGAGACAAUUAAAGAAAUUGGGGGAGAAAUUGGAAGGGUGGAAAAGGUGGGAACAAACACUUCAGGAGAAUGCUUUGGCAAGUAUGCUAGAUUGCGAAUCUCAGAAGACAUUACUAAACCAUUGAUAAAAAUUCUGGAGCUAGAAGAUGGAGAAGAUGCAGAAAUGGAGUUUGCUGUAGAAAAAGAAUAAGGAAUUGUGCACACAAAAAGAGUAGACAUGGAAGCUGACAAGGAGGAGAUAUGAACUGUUGGGGGGAAAAUCAUCCCUAUGCCGGUGCUAUACGAAAGGCUGCUGGAUUCUUGUUUUGUUUGUGGCUGUAUAGGACACCAGUACAGGGAAUGCAAGCAAUACAAAAACCAAACCAGAAAGGAAAUGGCUUAUGGGCCAUGGAUGAAAGCUCUCACAACGGCUAAAAAGUUCAGAUUGAACAAAGGCAAGGAGCGGUGGAAAACUGAAGCCGAGAAAAAAGAUGGUAGAAUCCCCAACAAUUCCAAACCAGAGGAUACUACAGAGAUGACGAAGAAUCAAACCAGAAGCAAUGGCAGUGAAAACGAGGAUGAAGAUGGGUUGACCCGAUUACAAACGGCCACAAAUUUGGAUAACCCACAGACUGAAGGGACGGGUAUCCCAAGGUUGUCAGAGAAAAGCUUGAAAGAGUCAACGCAGCCAACUGACAUGGAUACAUUACCUCAAAAACAGAGAAAAGAAACGGGAAACAAAAAUAUAAAUCAGAGGGAAGGAGAAAUGAGAGGUGAGCAAAAUGAAGAGUUAGAAAAAGAGGCGGGAGAAAUGGGGCAGAGAUCACAUGUGAAUGAGGCCCAUUUAGCAAAAAGCCCAAUAGACACCCGUGUGGUGACAAGCCAGGGAGAGGGUGAGAGGUUGAAUAAAACAAAGGCUAAAGCAACAAAGCAUAAAUGGAAAAUUCAAGCGUGAACAACCGAAAAAAGUGCAGUGAACGAAAAUGAGCCAAAGAUGUUAAAGAGACUCAAAGGAGAUGACAAUGGGACGAGUCCAAAUGGAAAGAGGAGGAAAAUAGACAAAGCAAACUACAUUGAUAGCUUCCCGUUAACUGCACAGAGCAUGACAAAAUGAGAGACACAGCAAAACAGAGAGGUGGAGAUGAUAGCAGUGGCAGCAUAAAUAAGCUCGAAGGAAUUAAGGGUGGUGGCUGGUGACCAGCCCCGCCCACAGCCAUGAAGGUCCUAAGCUGGAAUGUUCGGGGUUUGGGGAAUAACCGAGCAUUCCGUGAAGUCUCAAAGAUUCUCCAACUACACAGGCCUCAGAUUGUGUUUUUGUGUGAAACUAAGAUUAGGACUGAACAGAUGCAGGUGAUAGCUAAGAAGUUAAAUUUUGAGAGUUGCUUUGCCGUUAGUUGUAGAGGUAGGAGUGUGGGGUUAGCUCUAUUAUGGAAUUCAGAAGUAGUUGUAGAUAUAAAGUCCUAUAGCAACCACUAUAUUGAUGCAGUGAUCCACUCCGAAAAUGGUAGCUAUUGGAGAGGUACCGAAAUUUAUGGCCAUCCUGAGGUAGAGCAAAAACAGCACACAUGGACUUUAUUGAGAAGAUUGGCUAGCUUAAGCUCUUUACCAUAGCUUUGCUAUGGAGAUUUCAAUGAAAUUUUACGGAUGAAUGAGAAAACGGGGAAGAACGAGAGGCGUGUAUCCAAUGUAAAUGACUUUAGAGAAGCUGUUAAAUUCUACGGGUUGAGAGACACGGGUUUCAAAGGCCACCCUUUCACUUGGUCAAAUAGAAGGUUCGGUCCGCAGUUAGUGGAAGAAAGACUAGACUGAUUUCUUUAUUGUAAAAUCUGGGGGGGUAUGUUUCACGAAGCAGCAGCAGAACAUCUUGUAAACUGGACCUCAGAUCACAAUUCGAUAGUGAGGCAAGUUGAAGAAAGAGGAAGAAGCAGCAAGUUUAAGAGAAGAACUUUCACAAGAGUUCAUUAUGAGGACAUGUGGAGCCCAUAUGAGAAGUGUCAAGAGAUUGUAAAACAUGAAUGUGAGGAGUGUAGAAGCUAGAAUUGUGAAGAUCCUGUCUCUCAGUUUAAAAAGACAGCCAAUGACUCACUAGCAGAGCUUAAGUUGUGGAGUAGAGAAGAAUUUGGAGGGAGGACAAAGAAGCUGAGGAAGUUGUUGGACGAUUUAAAAUCCUACAAGCAGAGCAGCAACCAUUAUGUCAGUGGAGAUGAAUUCAAGCGAUUAGAAAGGCAGAUUGAUGAUUUACUCGUGGACGAAGAAAUCUACUGGAGGCAGAGGUCGAGGGCUGUUUGGCUGCGAGAAGGAGAUAAAAAUACAAAGUUCUUCCACUCUAAAGCUACAGCGAGGAAAAUGAAGAACAGAAAUUGAGGAAUUUUGGAUAAAAAAAAAGAUGGACUGAAGAACCAGAGGAUAUUGAGAGGAUUUUAUGUGACUAUUAUGACAACCUUUUCACGUCCAACAAACCAUCCUAAAGCCAAAUGAAGAAUGCACUUAAAGACCUGCCUCGUAAAGUCACUGAGGAGAUGAAUGCCUAGCUAAAUCAGCCCUAUACAGAAGCAGACAUCACAGAAGCCUUGAGCCAAAUGCAUCCUACAAAAGCCCCUGGUCCAGAUGGCCUUCCAACUACUUUCUUCCAAAAGCAUUGGAAGUCGGUGAGUCAAGGUGUUAUUACCACAUGCUUGUAGGUCCUAAAUAACAGAGGUAACCUUACUCCACUAAAUCAUACUUACAUAGCUCUGAUUCCGAAGGUUGAAAAACCUAAGAAAGUGGCGGACUUUAGACCAAUUAGCCUAUGUAAUGUAAUUUAUCGGAUAAUUGCAAAAACCAUUGCCAAUAGGUUGAAAUUGGUUUUGAACGAUGUAAUCUCACCAGCUCAAAGUGCAUUUGUUCCAAAUAGGCUCAUAACCAAUAACAUAAUUAUUGGUUACGAAUGCCUACAUAAAAUAAGUCUAAGUAGGGGGAAAAAACAUGGGUUAGUGGCUCUGAAAUUAGACAUAAGCAAAGCGUAUGACAUGGUGGAAUGAGGUUUUUUGAAAUGUACCUUAGAAAAAUUGAGAUUCUCGUAUGAUUUUGUUGAACUGAUAAUGCGAUGCAUAACUACCUCAUCAUUUUCUGUGCUGAUAAAUGUGGUGGCUAAAGGGCUGAUUCAACCUCAAAGAGGUUUAAGGCAAGGAUGCCCCUUGUCCCCAUAUCUUUUUAUUCUAUGUGCAGAGACUUUUACAAAUCUUUUACAGCUAGUAGAAUCUCAGCAGCUGAUUCAUGGGAUAAAAUUCAGCAAAGAACUCUCCAUCACUCAUCUUUUGUUCGCUGACGAUAGUUUGAUUUUUACAAGAGCCACAAGGGAGGAUUACACAAACUUAAAGAAGGUUUUUUAUUGUUACGCCACAGCCUUUGGGAAAAUUUUCAAUUUUGAGAAGUCGUCUAUGUUUUUCAGUGAGAGUACCAAGCCGGAGCAAAUUUCUUCAAUUACAACCAUCUUCUAGCUUCAGGUGGUCUCCAAACAUGUAAAAUACCUUGGGCUGCCCUCCAUGGUGGGUAGAAACAAGACUAGUUUUUUUAAGGAUAUCAAACUCAGAGUUUUUGGAAAGAUUUCAAGCUGGCAAGCAAAUUUGUUCUCCUGUGGGGGGAAGGAGGUGUUGAUAAAAGCUGUAGCUCAAGCGGUGCCUGCAUACGCUAUGAGUGUGUUUAAGCUCUCUAUAGGACUUUGUGAUGACAUGCAAAAGGCCAUUGCUAGUUAUUGGUGGGGAAGCAGCCGAGAUCACAAGUCAAGCCAUUGGUCAAAAUGGGAUAAUUUAUGUCAAGCAAAGAGUAGAGGUGGGCUGGGAUUUCGAAACUUGUCCAGCUUUAAUCAGACCUUAGUAGCUAAGCGGAACUGGAGGAUUAUCCAAGAGCCGGAGUCACUGGUAGCAAGAGUCUUAAAGGCAAGAUACUUUAAAAAUUCAAGUUUGAUGCAAGCUCAGAUGGGCUCAUAUCAUUCUUUUAUAUGGAGGAGUAUUUUAUGGGGCCGAAAAGUAUUAAAAAAAAGGUUGCAUUGGAGAAUUAGAGAUGGUGAGCAGCUGCUAGUGUAUCAAAGUCAAUGGAUUCCCAGACCUAUAACAUUUCAACCAAUAUCCCCCCCAUCAUUGAGCCCAUACACAACUGUUGCAGAGCUGAUCAGUGAGGAGCAAAAAUGGAAAGAAGAUGUAAUUCGGCAACAUUUUCUGAAAGAAGAUGUUGAACAAAUUUUGAAAAUCCCUUUGCCAAGGCAGCCAAAACCAGACCAAGUGUUGUGGCACUAUGACAAGAAGGGUAAUUAUUCAGUUAAAAGUGGCUACCAAGUGGCUAUGAAAAUGAACUUUCCUUAUAAGCCAAGCUGCUCGAGUGAGAAUGAUAAGUCUUGGCAUGCCAUUUGGUAUCUUCAACUCUCGAAAAAAGUUAAAAUUUUCAUGUGGAGGGCAGCAAAUAACCUGUUGGCAACGACAGGAAAUCUUUGGAAGAGGACAGUGGUGCAAUUCCCCUGGUGUCAGAGGUGUAAGCUAGCAAAUGAGACUGUUUUUCACACUCUAUAUGAAUGUAAAGCUUCAAAGAAAAUAUGGAGGCUAACCCCUUUUGGUGAGGAUAUUGAAUUUAGCAAAGUAAGAGAUAUUCUAAGCUUGCUGCAGGACUUGAUUGAAAAAAGGAGAAACUCUGAGAUGGAACUGAUUGUUGCUGUGUGCUGGAGCAUCUGGCACUCAAGGAACCUUUUCCUCUUUAAAAAUAAAAAAGAAGACCCCUUGUUAUGAGUUGCGGUAGCAAAAGCAAUGGUGCAAUCCUAUAGCAGAAUCCAAAUGCCCCAAAUGCAGGGUAACUCCCAGCAAAGCACUGCUAACCAAAAACAAUGGAAACACCCACCGGAGGGCUGGUUCAAAGUUAAUGUUGACGCAGCAGUAAGAGUGGAACAACAAAGAACUGGCCUGGGAAUUGUUAUAAGGAAUUCAAGAGGAAAGGUUAUGGCCGCAGCAAUGAAGCCCACAAAGUUUAUUGGCAAGGUUGAUUUUGCAGAAGCUGAAGCUAUCAGGUUCGGGUUGGAGAUAGCAGAAAAUGUUAGAUGCUUUCCACUAAUUGUGGAAUCUGACUCCCAGGAAGUAGUGGACUUAGUCAAUUCCAAGAAAAGUUCAAGAGCUGAAAUUUUUUGGGUUUCUUCUGAAGUCCAAGAUUGAAUGAAGAAGCUGAACCAAGUGAAAGUACAACACACCCCAAGAGGGUGCAAUACAUUAGCUCACUCUCUUGCUAGACUAGCAUUAGAGCUAAAUGAUUUUGUUUUUUGGGUAGAUAAUAUACCCUCAGAAUUUUUGUACCUAUUCACACAGUUGGAUGAAUGAAAGUAAUACUUUCUCUCAAAUAAAAAAAAAAACUACCAACAUACUAUUGAUCAAAUAUUUUAUUUUUCAAUAUAUGUGUCCAAUGAGAACUUUCGAAAGUUCUAGUAUAUACCAUUCGUAAGGGCUAAAGAUCUCUAUUUCUUAAUUUAAUUUGCACAUGUGUCUUUUGUAGGAAAUUUGAAUCUCCCUGUUUCUCACCAUUUGCCUCUUUAAAGGUAUUUGAGAUUCAUAUUCUACUUGGUACGUUGUGCCUCUCUAGGGAUUUAUAUUCAAUAAUUUAAUCAUAGAUAAAAUAUUUUGCAAUACAUGAAAAUAUGGUCUCUUUAGGAGCACCAAAUUAUUUUACAUAUUAUUUAUAUAUAUAUAUUAAUUUAACAAAAUGGCAGCCAAUUUCCUCCCAUGUGAGAGACAUUAUACCUUUUUUUUUUCUCUCUAACGCAAGAGAUUUUACUAUCUCAAAUGGAUGAAAUGCACAAAAUAUGAAAAUGAAUUUAAUUUCAUAUUAUAUAUAAUUAAUGUUUUAUUAUUUUCUUGUAACAUAAUAUUUAUUUAACAUACUAUCAAUUAUUUGAUUAUGUAGAAAAAUAUAUUAAUUUACUAAUAAUAAUAAUAAUAAUGAAGCGUUAGUUUAUCAAUUCGUAAAAUCAUUAGUUUAUCAAUUCAUAAAAUCAUUUUUGUUCAUUUGAACAAGGAUUUUGUAUUUUUGGUUGAAUUUUUGUCCUUAAAUUAAAAGAGUAAAUUUAAUUGCACAGUUAACUAAAUUAACUAAAUUGACUUUUGUUAUUCCACCCCAACAUUUUAAAUAGUCAUUAGCACACAUUUAAAAUAUUUCAUUAACUUAAUUAAAGAAGGAUAAAAAAAUAAAUCUAAACAAUUACUCUAUUUGAAAAUAAUUUAAAUAUUUCUUUAUUAAUUUUUUGUAAUUAAAAAAAAGAGUAAUAAUUUUAUUUUAUUAUUUUGUUUCUAUAUUGUAAAUAAUUUUAAUUAUCUUUUAAUAUUAAUCAUUUUAGGAAAAGUAAAUAAAAAAUAAGAAUUUUUAUGUAAAACACAUUAGUUAGUUUUUCAUAUUAUAAAAUGCAUAGUGAUUUAUAAUAAAAAUUAAAUAUGCAUGUUUACCCUUACAAUAUAUAUAUAUAUAUUGCCUCCUGAUUACAUUCUUGUCGAAUUAAUGGCUAAGUGCUGGAAAACAGAACCAUGGCCAUGACCAAUUUUUUUAUUUUUUAGUUUGGUAGUGAAAUGGAUUUUUUUUCCUUCAAUUCUAACAAUUUAUGCAUUCUCUUCUCUACAUAUAUUGCAAUAAAAAAAAGAAAAAAAUUUAUAUUGUCCAAAUUGACAAAUCUACGAUGUCGAAGUAUUGUAUUCAUGUCGGCAUCUUUGAAAAGUGCUUCUGAAAUAGAUUGUGGCUUCCAAAAACAUCAUUAUAAUUAAAAAAUUUUAGGUGUAGGACUAAUGUGUGAAAAUAUAAAAGUCUUUAGUUUUUUUGUUCUUUAAACAAAUGAACGGACUCCGUUACAAUUAACCUUGAAAAAGACAAAGGGGGGGGGGGGGGGGUACGAAACCCAUGUGGCAACGUAGUUUUGGCCUUUACAUAAAUAUUAAGAUGAGUUAAAGUGUGUAUAUGCAAUAAAGUGACACAUACUAUUAUCAUAAAUUCGUGUUAUCCAUCACGUAUAGCUUUCCUCCCCCUUGUGAUGAGAUGUCAUAAAAUUUGUUACAAAAUCUUUAAUUGUAAGUAAUGAUGAAUCAUACGAAAUAAUAAAUUGUUUCUAUAAGUUGAUCUUCGCUUGAUUUAAACAAAAAUCAAUUAGUAAAAGAAUUUUCUAGUUUUUUAAUUCAAAUUCUUGUGAAUUUUCUAUAAUUUGAUACAUAAUCAUUAGCCCCAUUUGCAAAUUUACCAUUGUAACUUCAUCAUUUCAAACUAUGUAAGAAACUCUAGACUACUUAAACUUCUAGUUCAUUACAAAUUAUUUUAAUUUUUAAUUUGUUUCACUUCGGGUGGUUCAAUAUAUAUAUUGCAAUCAUUAAUACUUAAAAUGGUGAACAUUGUAAUGUCGAUAACUUUAGUAUGGCGCGUCUAGCACUAAUCCCACAAUUACCAAAUAAACAUUUACUUCAAGGAAUGCAAAUAAAUUACUAAUAAUAGUAAGAUGAGACCAAUUAUUUAUUUCAAAAACUUAAUAUUUUGUUCAUAUAUAAAGAGAAACAAUGGCUUUAAUAUACAUUUUGACAAUCUCAGUUUGCUACUAUAGGAGCAUAAAUGAGCCAUAAAAUUUUGUACACAUUACAUGUUCUCUUUAUAUAUAUUGUUGAUGAUUUUCUCCUCAUAUGUAAAAGUUAGAAAAACAUAUGAAUUUUUGUUCGAUAUUUUGGUGCUGACAUAUUUCUUUAAAUUGUUUUAAAGAAACAAUACCCAUUUGGAUAUUCAAUUUUCAUUCCUUCAAGAAGAUAAAAUCAAUCACCAUUUUAAUUCAAACCUUGAACUUUUCCAUAUGUUAUAUUAUUUUUUCUUAAUUUUCUUUCAUUGUAAUCAAGGUGAAACUUUUAAUCCCAAAAAUACAAAUUGCGAAAAUUAAGCAUAUAUAAUUCAAAGCAAAUCAUGUUAAAUUUAUACCCUUCGAAGAAAAAACUCUAGCUUGAAAGACGGCUACAUUUUUGUUCAAGCUGGGUCUUUGGAGCACUGAAGGCUUGAGUUUAUGAGGCCGUUCUCCAUCGCCUCUAUUAAAGAUGCAGCCAUGAUACAGUAUUGAAAACUUGUUCCUAACACUUAAUUAUCACCAUUUCAAAUUACUUCACAUGUCAUAAUUAGUUACAACAAGAUCAGAAACAGUGUAAUAAGGUAGAUAGCAAAUAAAAAGCAUAGAAAUAGAAAUAGUUUAGAGACUACUUUUAUUCAUUCUUAAGUAUAUACAAAUGAGGAGAUGAACUAUCUUUUUAUAGUUACAUAAUCAUAUACAUGAAAUAAAUGAUUAAUAAAUAUAUACAUCAUUAAUUAUAAGUUUUUAUGAGAUAAUGAGAGUUAAAGAAUUGUUUGAUAGGGAGAUAAAAAGCUUAUUUUGAUGAUCAGCCACAUAAUUAUAAUUGUUUCAGGAGGAAAAUAUUAAGGAUAAUUGAGGGGGUGUUAGGAGCCCGUCUCGUUUUCUAACUGCGAUUUGUGAAGUUGGACUAACCCAAAACACAGACACACAUGCAAUGGGCUUGAAAUCAGUUUCCAUGUUAUGGGGCCAAGUCCCUGUUAUCGUGAGACGCUAAAUUAUCUCUCAAAAAUAAAACUGAAAAUUAAAAAGAAAAAACCAGAGACACUGAAUCUUUACCUCAAUAAACAGAAAUCCAAAUCAAACUCUUUGAUUUUUUCUGUAUAAUAAAUAUUAAAUUAAGCAAGUACUACUUGGAAGCUGACUAAGCAACUACAGUUUCUGGAUAACCACUGAGUUAGCAAUGCCAGCUUGCUCUACAGUCUGGUCAAGAUCGGUGAGUUGCUUUGGAGGGAACCCCAUUGCCUGUAGUUGGUAGUUUCUUGCACUGCCGGGUCUUGACGCAUCAAUGAAUCUGUGAAUAUCUCUGAUAGUAUGGUGGUGGUUGAAGCGAGCAACCAUGCGAGUACCAUCUGCUAACCUCAGCUGAACAGAGGUAGUCGGUAAAGUUGCAUCCACAACUAGACCAGAUGAUGGUGAUGGAGCAGUGUUUAAGGCAGCGGCAGUAAAAGUUGGCUCAGAGGCAGCAGAGGCAGGAGAGUCAUUGCCACCCAAAGUUCUCCCUACACCCUGGAAUGCAGAUCGGCGCUUCGGUGGUUCCUACAUGAAACAGUGGAGUUCAGUAGUGUAGAUGCAAGAUGGAAACACGAGAACAAAUAUUCAGAAAUGAAGGGAGCAAAGGCGAACAGAGUAGUCCUCCUCUCGCUUAUUGAUGAGUUCAACAUGCACACGAGUUUUCUUAUCAGCUGGUUCAAGCUCCCUUGGGCACUCGGACCUCAUGAUGCUCUGCAUUGAGAUGCAACCAAUACGUAAGUAUAACGCAUCUCUAUAAGUAAAAGAGAGAACCUACCCAGUCCCCAUAACAACAUCCAAUUAGGAAGCCAGGUUUUGAGAAAUCUCAGUAAAUCGUUAUUCCCCCCUACAGUAGGUACAAUUCCUUUUCAUUUCGGAAGUUGAAUGUGAAGGUCAGGUUGCAACUCAACUCUUGUAAUACAACUAACAUAGCACAAGCAAUUUUCACAGUGACAAUGAUAGCAAAAUCAUGAAAGUAAGGGAAAUAUUAUUGUCAAAUACUACCUCCAAAAAGGAAGCAUUUGCAGGAUCAUCCAUCCUCCGCAAUGGACCAUCAUCUACAGUGAACCCAUUCCUCCAAAAAGUGAUGUUGUGUGAGACAUUUUCAGGCGGAGGAGCUGGAGCAGAUGAUACUGUCUCUCCAGAGAGUAACCUUGCUGUUCCAGUGAAGGCUUUUGAGCUUGAUGGUGCUCGAAGGUCAGGCCUUUCUACAGCUGAUUGUCUAGCUUGAUUGAAAAUUUCAUCCACUUGAUUUCCUUUGGUAGGAUCUUGGACCAGCAUCCCGCUGCAACCAUAAUAAAAGUAAAAUUUAAAAAUAGUUACUUUUAGAUGAAGAAAAGUAGAAAACCCCAAUAAAAUUUUUAAAACUAGUGUUAGAAAAGGGUUGAAUUAAUGAACAGUUCAAAAAAAUAAGCCAUCAAAUUUAUCAUGCAAUGUGAAUACUUGGUACCAUAUGCCCCCAAUUGCAUUUCAUAAAUGGAUUAUGAGUGUCUGUGGAUAUAUAAGUUCUCACGCAAAUAUGAUUAAUCAGAUUUCAAAGAAAGUUUCCAUGUAUUCAAUAACAAUCUUCUCAACUUUGUUUCCACUCUUCAGCGGAGAAAUCAAGAUAAGUUAUCAACGUAGAUGUCAACAUACAAAUUUCAGCCAUUAAAUGAAAUCGAACAAACUAAAAAAUCCAGAAAAGAUUAUCACAUUUUUCAUUAACCCUCGUAUAAGCUAGACAUUAAGCUCAAGGGUUCAUAUAAGUAUCAUACAAUUACAGAAAAAUUUAGCCAUUCCCAUUAGAGAAAAAAAAAAAACGAAUAUAAUUAUUAAUAAUCAACCACAUUCAUUAAUUAAUCAUAACUAAGCAGUUAAAACGGCUGAUCAUAUGAAACAAAUUCUUAAUUCUCAUGGAAUUAAAGCAGAAUGAAAAUUAAAAUUUUUUCCCUUCUUUUUUAUCUUUAAAACAUUUAAAUUAUACCUCUUCUCACCACCAGUAUAAUACUGCUGCGGCUCGUCGUCGUCGUCAUCGCUAUCGGCCCCACCAGGAGGAGUCCUAUUCAGAUCAGCAAGAGUCCGAAUGCCCCCACGUGAUGUCCCAGUCGCCGCCUUCUUAUCCUCCUUCUUCCCCCGUCGGCUUCGGGAACGCAGCUCGUACGGAUCGCGAGCCGCAGCAGGUGAUGGCGACCGAGACCGGGACGGGGAACGAGACAAAGACGCAGACGGAGAGGUCGAGGGGGAGUUUGAAAGCGACGGGGAGUUAACGGCAGGGAGAGUAGCGACCGAUUGAGAUGCUUCGGGGGAGGCGGUGGCCGCUGCGGCGUUGUCUAGAAAAGUCGAAACGGCGGCGUCUAGAUUCCACUGAUGAGACUCCAAGAAGAAGAGAGCUUCGUCUUUGGUGGAUGAUGUGAUCUCCACGAAAGAAUUGAUUAAAGAAGAGUUAGCUUCUGCUGUUGGGUUCUCCAUUGAUCCGAUUCGUUUUCGAUUUUUCGAUUCGGUGAGGACGAUGUCCGAUCGAUCGGUUUAUAUAUGUAUCUGUUUACUUGUUAUCGCGGGUUACGUCAAACGACGUCGUUUCCAGAAACAGUAGAACAGAUAUUGUUAUUAUUAUUUUAUAUACGAGGGUCUUGUGCCGUCGUAGGUUAGUCCCAAUACAAUACUAGUAUGACGUUGACUACACUACCUCUACAAGAAAAUAAUCAUAAUUUAGGGGCUAUAAUAUUUUUCAUUUACAAAUAAAAAUAAUUUUCUCAACUGAUAAGAAAGAAAAAAGCUUUUGUAUUCCGUGAGAUAAUUAUUUUUUAAAAUGUUUAAUUUAAUAUGAAAAAUAAGCCCAUUUAUGAUUUCCUCACUUCAAUUCAAUAUAAUGGAUAUAGUUGAUUAUUACAUCAGAUUAAGAUGGUAAUUAAAGUUUUGAUAAUCGACCAAGUUCAUAAAAUUAAAAGUAUAUAGGAAAACAAGUUUAUGAUAGUAUAUAUAUGUUAGAGCAAUGAUAUAGCCACAAAUUCUUGUACAAAUUUAUUUUGUACAAAUUGAUGUGGCAUUAAUUCAUUGGUUGAAUUAAAUAUCUCUUAGUCCACAUGACUUAUUUAUAUUAUUUUAUAUUUUCAUUCAACCAAUGAAUUAAUGUCACAUUAGUUUGUACAAGAUAAGUUUGUACAAGAGUUUGUAGCUAUAUCAUCACUCAAUAUUGUUUACAUCAAAGCUAGUAAUCUAAAAGGUUGUAAACAAGUGUUGAGGGGAGUGAGGUUUCAUUGUGAACCUCCAUAAGGCAUAGAUGGUUCAUGAGUAAGGAAUAAACUAUACUUUGCGGAAAAUGGUAAACAACCAAAUGAACGAAAGAAGGAUGACAAAAACGGCAGCCAAUGUUGUCGUUUCAUGCGUUUCUUUUUCCAAUUUUUUUUGUGGGGUUGACAACAGAUAAUAAAUAAGUUUAAAAAAUAGAAAAAAUAAUGAAAUAUCUUCUGAUAAAGGAAACCAGAUCCACUCGUUCCUUAACACUCACUCCGUCCUCCCUUUCUUCACUCGUUCCUCAACACUCACUUCGUUCCCUCCGUUUCCUUUCUCCACUCGUGCCAGUCACCAACCGACGCUCUAAACAAUAUCAUUUCUCGUCCUCAACGCCUGCUAACAAUCGAUCUACAAUGGAGCCGCCACCAGUAGAACAAAUGCCAUAACAUUGCAACCAGAGUUGCCACCACCACGUCGACCUAUAACGGAGCCGAUAGAGUCACUGCUACCACGCCAACACUGUCAACGUGAAGGUCCCAUUUAACUCUCUCUGUCUCUCAUAAUCAAUUUUUUUGUAUCAAAUUUUUGUCAAAUAAUUAAAAAAAUAAUAUUUUUUUAUUUGAAUUAUGUGAUAUAUUUUAUUUGUGAUAUGAUAGUUGUGUGAAAUGAAUAAUGAUAAUUAUGUAAAAAAAAAUUAAUUACGUGAUUUGUGAUAAUUUUUGUCUGAUAAGUUGAUUUGGGAAAUAUUUGGCUCUGAAAUGCACUGAAUUUUUGCAUAAUAUUUGAUUUGAAUAUUAGUUUUGCAUUUUGCAUAAUGUUUAAUUUAAAUGCCGAAAUUGAUCAAUUUAUACAUAUUAAGAAAUAAUUGGUGAUUAUUUGUUUUGUUUAUAUUUUUGCUUUUAUCUUUAUUAUUCAAAAUUUGUUAUUUCUUUAAAAUGUUAAUAAGAUGCUCUCAUAGUGUCCUUGGUUUUUCUUGUUUAGUAUGUUGUUAAUGAGUUUAAUGUUAUUGUUAUUGUAAGGAAUGUUGGAAAUGAUUGAACUACAUGCAAUUCUUCUCUCUGCAUUUGCUAUUCAACACGAUUGUGUGAAGUGUCCAAGUGUAGUUUUGUAUUGUUCCUUAGCCUUCACUUAAGUGAAUUGCCCAUGUUAUACAUUUAUAGCUUAGAGGUUAGCAACGGUUGUAGGCCGGAAUAUAUGCACGCCAUUGUAUGAUUCACACCAUUAAAUGAAGAGGAUAAUUACUGAACUUUUCACUCUAGCAGUUCUAUAUUAAGAAGAUCCUGAGAUGCAUGCUUAGAAAUUUAAAUUUAUUACUAAUGUUAAGGAACACAGUUCUAUAGUUCAAUAUUCCUGUCAAGUUAGCUCUUACUAAGCAUUUUGCAUAUAAUUAGGAAUGCAAGUAUUAAUUUGGGCAUAUAAUAUUUGAUCUGAAUUUUUCAAUGAAGAAACCAAAUUCCUCUUCAAAUUUGUUAUGUUGUUUUCAAAGGACGAAAGUCGGGCAUAUAUAAUUCUUGGUCUGAAUGCCAAAAAUAGGUAAAUGGAUUCAAAGGGAAUGCUUAUCAAUCUUAUAAAUCUUUGUUGGAUGCCGAAACAUCAUACAAUGAGUACAAACAAAUGCAUGAAAAAUUGCCAGAGACAUCUAAUACGUUAGAAACUACAAAAUCUAUCGUGGAAACACGCGAAAAGAGGGUGCAAACUAAAGUGCCUACAUGCGACAAAGCUGUACAAACUGAUAAAGUCAGAAAUAAUUCCAGUAUUCUGCCUAUUUUAUCCAUUGUCUAUUGUAUUUUAGGAAUAAUCAUUGCUAUAUGUAUUUUGUAUAAAUAAAGAGAUUGUACCCCUUGUUAUGUAUGAAUUAUGAUAUUUAAACAAAAUGAUUGUUAUGUAUGAAUUGCAAUGUUUAAUCGUAGGAAGAAGGGACAUUUCCCUCUGGACCCUAUACAUUUGUAGAGAUAUUAUGUGUAUCAAAAGAAACAACAAUAAUGCAAUGAUACACUAAGUCGCCAAAUCUAACAUAUAUAAUUAAUCCAUCACUACAAUUUCAAACAUUUAAAGACAAAUCUAACAUAUAUCAUUAAUCCGUCACUAUAAUUUUAAAAAUUUAAAGCCAAAUCUAACAUAUAUCAUUAAUCCAUCACUACAAUUUAAAAAAUUUAAAGCCAAACCUAACACAUAUCAUUAAUCCAUCACUACAAUUUAAAAAAUUUAAAGCCAAACCUAACACAUAUCAUUAAUCCAUCACUACAAUUUAAAGCCAAAAUACAAGUCAAACAUCAUGAUUGUUAUCUUUAUUACACUGCUGCUGUAGUAACUGUUGGAUAUUCUCAUUUUAAGAUCCUUGAUAGGUCACUGAAGGAGAAGAAUGCGACUGCAAAGUAUAUAGUGGGACUGGUUGCUAUAAUACACAAAAACAAACAUCAUAUUACAUUUCAGAAAUAUUAAAAUAUAAGUGUACAUUAACAACUUGUAAAUAAUAACAUAUUGUGUGCCAAUUAUAAGGAAAUGACUGAUAAAUAUUGAUUCCACCGAAUUGGGAUCGGUACAUAGGUACCUAAUCAAAUAAUAAAAUAUAUGUAAAAUCCAUUUAAAAAAUUUUAAAACUAAAAUUUAAAUAAAUAAUUCUUACAUUGUAGUAGCCUAUAGUGCCGUAUUGGUUGAGAUUUCCAUGAACAAUACUUCCUUCUCGUAGCGUCUACAUAUGGUCAAUCUUUAGGGAUGACAAUGGGGAGGGGAGGGGACCAACAUCCCCGUACAUAUCCCCGUACCCAUCCCCGAUGUUUUGCAUAUGUCCCCAUCCCCUCCUCGUCUCCGUAAGAAUUGGUUGAGGGGAUCCCCGUCCCCUCCCCGAAUAAUAACAGGGGAUUCCUGAAGGUCCCCGACCCCCGAAUAACUUAUAUCUUUUUAGUUUUCGAACUUAAUUUAAUCAUAUUGACCUAAAAAAUAUGAAAUAAAAUGAGAAUGAUCGUGAAUGAGCCUUAUUUCAUUAUACUCCUUCAAACUUUUGGUAUAUAUAAUAUUUAAAUAAUAAUUUUCAAAACAAAAUUCAAAUAAUGUCAUUUUAUACAAUAUUGAUGUGAUUGUUGUCCAUGAGUAAUGAUACAUGCUGAUCACUGACUAUAGCGCAACAAAGCUGCAUGUGUGGCUGUUAGUUGACAUUGCGAUGAGCUAGGCUACUCGGUCAUUGACAACGCGAUGUACUACUAGGAUAUGAUGAGAUGAAGACGAGUUGGGUGUUUGCUACUGAGCGAAUAAUUUGGAAAGGAUGGGCAAGACUGUGAGAGAGUGAUUUACUAUUUGAUUUGUGAGUUAUAGGCUUGUGUGAUUGUGUGCUUUUGGUUGUAGUUAAAUCUAAAUUAUAUUAAAUAUUUUAUAUUAACUAAUAUUUAUAUUAUUUGUAUAAAUAUUUUGAUAUUUUUAUUUACACCAAUAUUCAAUAUUUUAUAAUUUAAAAUUUAUUAUUUAUUCACUAAUAAUUAUAGAAAAAUAAAAUAAAAAUUAAAAAAUUAAAUAAAGAUUAAAAAUAGGGAAAUAGGGGAAAUAGGGAAAUAGUGAAGGGAUGAGGAUUCUACUUCAUCUCCGUCCCUUGCCGAAUAAGAAAUUAAAUAUAAAAUUAUCCCCAUACCCUCCCUAAAUAGGAAAAAUCCCUAAGGAUUCCCAUUCCCAUGAGGAUUUCUGCCAUCUCUAUCAAUCUUAUACUUAGUUCCAUAUCCUCGAAAUAAAAGAAAAAAAUUAAAAUUAAAAUUCACAAAACUUACCGUGGCCAUGCUGCUCUCCUAUAUGGAGAUUUUAUUAGGCACAUGAUAAGACGAUGGAGCAUUUUCUUGUAAAUCCUGUAAGAUUAUUAAAAACAAUUAAACUAAAACCAAAUGAAUUAGAAAAUAUAUAUUUGUAUUUAAACAGACCUUAUUUUUUUUUAUGCAACCUUGUUCUUUUGAAUAGAUUUCUUACGAAUUGAAGAUUUUUUCCUUAAGUAAGGUGGACGACCUUUAUGACGUGUCACUGCUGGAUAAUUCAGUACAAGUUGAACCUUGUUACUGCUACAACUUACUUCACCAGUAACGGUUCUUUCCACACUUUCACUGUGAAUUUGCUUGUUGCUCAUACAACUUGCUCUACCAAUAAUAGUUUUUUCCACACUUGCAUAACGAAUUUGCUUGGGCAAAUUAUUCAUUGCUUUCUCAAUCCAAUCCAAUACCAUUUUGUAACUAUUUUCAUCAUCAUAAGCUAUAUGUGCAACCUCAUUGAAAGCACUACAAAUUUUUUCAUAUCUGUCUUGCUAGAUGGACAAAUUCUACACACCAUAACUAACUUUCACCUUACUAUAACAUCUCCUCACAUAUUUCCUCUGCCUUGAUAAAAUGUAUAUUUCUAGAAGUAAUUCAACAAAGUUACAUAUCAGCACUUCAAGGGCAUGUCUGCAAAGAAUCCCUCUAAACUGGAACUUUAAACAAAUACAAUUAACUUCACACUCAUCUUCUUCGAAAAUAGCCUCAAAGAUUUUUUUCUUACCUUGCUCGUAUGAUUCACUUAUUUUAUAUAUUGAUCCCACAUAAUUCCGUAUAUCAUAAUACAUCAGUGCCGUUAAUUCUUUUUGGAAUUAUUUAAACUUAGAAAUGGUGUACACCUCUUCAACUUGCUUCUUCAUUUUAUAUCUUGUUGCACAUGAUGUCCGUUCACUAAAACACUUAGCAUCUACUUGCCAUUCUAAUUCAACUUUCCUUCUCAAUGCAUUUUCAUAUUGCUUCACAAACUACUUCAGAUUUGUUUUUAAGUUAACAAACCCAUUAAAAAAUGCAUUUAUACUUUCACUUCGCUAAGUAGUUGACAUUCCUGCCCAAUAACAAUCUUUCAAAUAGCAUGAAAUCAAAUGAUGCCUCUCAUCACAUUUAAACUUCCUCGAAUGCAGUAGAACUCAGUGAAUCAUAAACAACAAACAACAGUAAAGAAAUAAUAUCUUCAUAUUCUUUAAACAACCCUAACUUCUUAGGUACCUUCUUCAUUAUGUGCUAUAAACAUCACUGAUGCCUAGUAGGAGGAAAAACAUUUUUAAUUGCCUUUUGCAUUGCCUUGUCUUGGUCUGUAAUGAUACCAAAUAGAGGAGAAUCAGACAUGCAUGAUAGUCACGCCUCAAAUAACCAUGUAAAUGUCUCCGUAUCCUCACGUGAAAUCAAUCCGCAUCCUAACAAAAUAGAUUGGCUAUGGUGAUUAACUUCGACAAAGGGAGCGAAUGUCAUGUUAUACUUGUUGGUUAGAUAUGUAGUGUCAAAUGUGAUGACGUCUCAAAAAUAUUUAUAAGUUGCCCUACUCCUCGGAUAUGCCCAAAAUACAUUCUUUAAUCGAUCUUGCUAAUCUAAAUCAAUGCUUUUAAAAAAAAAAACCCCUUAUAUUCGCUUGCUUUUUCUAGAAAUACUUUAAAAGCACCAUAGCCUCUCCUUCUGCAAGUUGUAAUUGCCUUGUUUUGUCAACAAAAUUUUUGCAAUCUUUUUCUAAGAAUGAGACAUUUUCAUGCCCACCAGCUUCAACAACAAUAUAAUGAAAUUUUGGGCAAUUUUAAUUCCCGCACAAUCAUUCAUUUGAAUUCACUUUUUAGCACUUGCACUAAUUCUGUGAUUGUAAGGGAAAUACCUAACUUUGUCUGGAUUCAAUCCAUGGUUGUGUUGAAGAUUUAAAAUUCAAAAAACCCAUUUUCCAUCUUCAUUUAGACAACUUUCAAUUUUUGCAUCACAACCAUUUUUCACAUUAGGUUUUGACUUCAACGCAUUAGCAUAUUUACUUUCUGACUUGUCGCUACGGCCACAUGCAAAUGAUGCAUAUUUGACAAUCCCAUCAGUCCAUUUCUUAGUAGUUCAAACCUUCACAAAAAAUCCCUCUUGUUUACCAUAGGCUUUGUAAAAUGCAAACAUUUCUUCAUGACUAUCAAAUAACAUUCUAAGAGUUGGCUCAUUUUUUUGCACAAUUUCAACUGCAUUGUUGGCUCCUAUUUCUUGUAACUCUUUAAAUGCAGGCUCAUUUUCCAAAUUCUCCAUUUCUAAAAAAUAAUUAACAUUUGUAUUAAGAAUAAGUAAUUAAAAAUUUUUAUAACAUUUUUGUCCGGUAACAAAAAAUCCUAACAAUUUAAAUAUAUAAAACACAUCCAAAUUUUUUAAAAAAUUUAUUCCAAUAUUUCCAACAAUUCAAAUUAAAAAAAUCCUAGUAAUUUAAAUAUAUAAAACACAUCCAUAAAUUUUUAUUAUUUAUUCCAUUAUUUCCAGCAAUUUAAAUUAAAAAAUCAUUAAAUAUAUAAAACACAUCCAGAAAUUGUUAUAAACUUAAUCCAUUACUUUCUAACAAUUUAAAUUAAAAAAUCCUAACAAUUUAAAUAUAUAAAAUGCAUCCAAAAGUUUUUACAAAUUUAAUCCAUUACUUUUUAUCAAUUCAAAGUAAAAAAAAUCAUAACAAUUCAUAACAAUUUAAAUAUAUAAAAUGCACGCAUCCAGGAAUUUUUACAAAUUUAAUCCAUCACUUUCUAACAAUUUAAUUGAAAAAAAUUCUAACAAUUUAAAUAUUUCGAACACAACCAAAACUAAUUUUAUUUGAAUGUAAUGGGAAAGUGAAAGUUAUCCAGCUACAAUUUCAUCAACGUUGUUGGCAUGGUCUUUGGCACCAAAUUUAGAUCUUUGAAUGCAGAUCUCUGGGAUAAUGGCUGCUGGUUUUAUUUCAUUUUUCUUCUAUUAAUGCAAAUGCAGAUAUGAGUUCGGCUUCAUCGGGUUUAGGGAUAAUGACGCUUUUUGUCUUUUACCAUUACUUUCUUAUUUUAAUGUUUUGUUUUCGUUACUUUUAUGCUUAUUUUUCAUUAUUUUAUAUUUUCUUUUUAUUAUUUUAAUUUUUUAAACGAAAAAAAGGAAUAGAAGUAAGAUUCAUGGAAAUGGCAGUGCCCGCUACCCUUUCUACCGUCCCUUUGUUCAUUUAGCACUACUGAUACUUUGCAAAGAAGUGUAAAUGGGGUUAUAAAUUUACCUAACCACUCAAAAAAUUUCAAUUUUUGACAAGAAACAAGAGAAGAAAAGCGAAGAUUAAUCUGCAAAUUUUUCCAGUUGAAUCACAAAUGGCUAUAUAUAGAUAGUCAUAAAAGAGAUUAAGAGAUGCCGAUCAAGUAAAUAAGCUAAAAUUUUAACAACCUGAAUGCUUAUUUUCCUUGCCAAUUUUCAUGUAAUUAAGCAAAACUGUAAAAUUUGCCAGUGAAUAAAUAUUAGAUCCAUGCUGCAUGCACACUCUCAAAAUAGUCUAGAGCUGCACCGGGAAUUAAUGAACUGGAAAUAAACGGAAUUCAUUUAUUCAACUUUGCUUGAGCGGGCGGUCCAAGUUCCAGCUUUAGAGUGUGAUUGAUAUCAUUUGCAUUUGGGCCAACAAAUUGAAUUGGUCCUGAUGAACACAAAGGCAACAUAUCAUCAGGACAUUAAUGAAUAAAAUUUUUUGAAAAAAGAAAAAAAUAGCUAACUGGUGUAAUUUUGCAGUAUCACUGGAGAAAGAGUGCAUGCUCAAAAGAAAUUUAUAUACCUGGACUGACAUAUAGAUUCUUGAUUGUCCAGUCCUCACGCAAAGAUGCAAAUGUCUUAAAUGGUAUACCUGACAUUUCACAAAUACAACAAAAAUUAAGUAAAUUCACUGCUUCAAGAAACCAAGGCAAAAUGAAGAGGUUGAAAAUUCAAGAUGUUACCUUCAAGUUCCACCAUUGCCUUCUUAAUCACAGGCUUGAACUUCCCUGAAAGAGUUAUAAGAAAAAAAACAGAGUUGAUAAAUGAAGAACAAAAGUCCAGAGACCAGAGUGACUCCUGUAUUAAUAGGAAUGGCUACCAUGUCUACGCUCGACAUCCAUUAAAGAUGUCAAUGCUGUUCCUCCCACUGUCCAUUCUUCAACAGGCUCACCCAGAUUUCCCACCUGUGAUUUGACGCCGAGGUUUUGAAAACAUAAGACAAUAUCACAAACAAAGUCGCAAUGAAAGGGGAAACUUCAAUAGGAAAUAAUACUAACAGAUGAAAUCAAUCCAGUCUUUCCAGCAUGGAGGAGAGCUGCAGCAGCAUAACCUAAUGCAUAGCAGUAAUUUGCAUCGAAGUUUGUGGGCAAACCGCAUCUGCCCUCAUAACUGCUCGGUCAAAAUCAAGUAUAAUGUGAGUUCUCUAUGCAAUGAAUGUAAAACAUCAAGAGACAGCUGAUUCAAGAUUAAUUUUGAAGAAACAAUAUGUUGGUUACCCAAAGAAGUGGGACUGUCCAUUGAACUGCCCUUUAUAUGCACCCUUCUGCUUCAUUUUAUUCAAUUCAGUUUCCACCAUUUGAAUAAGCAUUUUUUCUGUUUCAAUCUUGGCAACCUACACAUGUGACACAAACAUGUUAUAAAAAAAAUAGAAUUAAAGUACGAUGAAUUAUGACAAACAGGUAUAGGAUAAAGCUGUCAUAAGCCAAAAAAAAAAACCUGCACAUUCCCAUGCGGAUCUCUUUCAAGCAAUAGUUGCUCCUGAAUUGCUUUGGGGAACAACUCAAAUAGCUCCUGAGAUUGACUCUUGAGUUUCUUUUUCCACGCCCCAUCUUGAUCAACACCAUCAUGAGCUAAUAUUUCAUUGAGUUCUGCAAUAAGUUGUUGUACCUGCAAGUUGCAGGGCAAUAAAAGCAAUUGACAGUUUAAGCUUCAACUUCCAUGCGGAAACGGAAAAUAUAGCUUCUGCUAUCUCUUAUAUACCUCAGGAAUGAAGUCGAUCAGGCCUUCUGGUAUAAGUAUGACGCCAUAAUUGUAACCAGCUUCUGACCUUUUGCAGAUUAUAUCUGUAAUAUAAUCUGUAACAAUCUUCAGUGUCUGCUUCUUGGCAGCAACCUUCAUCAAUGCAAAAUGCUGUUAGUGUUUACAGAAGUUGGUGCAGAAAGCAGCCAACAGAAUUAUUAUAUGAGUAACUUGGCUCUGAAUUUUAGGGUUCGUGAAGUCAUUUUGACGAGCACUACCUGCGUACUUACAACAGGCAAGUAUUCAAACAAAUUGAAAUCGACAUAGGAUAUCAGAACGCACCUCUUCCCCAAUAAUUGUAAUAUUCGGAUGAGUUUGCAAAGCGCACUCCAAUGUUAUAUGAGAAGCUGCACGGCCCAUAAGCCUUACAACUGCAGAAACAGAUAUAAUUAGGAAGAAGAGCAAUGGUAUUGCUAUUCUUACAUGGACUGCACAAAAUGUAACUACUAUAGCAAAUUCGAGAAAUCUGUAUCCAGAGAGCUUACAGUGGUAGUAUUUUCCAGUCGAGCGAGCAUCCGUCAUAACAUUUCCUAUCAUUUCUGAAAAUAUCUGCAUUUUUUAAGCCCGGAUAGACCAUGAUCAUCAUGAACCAUGAAAAUAAUUGUUAAAUCUACCCAUAUUGAUAUAGAAUGAAAUGAGGAUCUGCAUUAAGCUCACUUUGUUUCAGAACAUAAAAAGUGAAAUAAAUCAGCACCUUGCAUGCAGUGUCAAAUCCAAAACUUGUAGGGACCUCUUUGCACUUGAGAUCGCCGUCAAUGGUUUUUGGGCAUCCAAUAACUCGCGUUUUUAUAUCCUUACUCCUGAUCAAAGUUUCAAGCAGUGAAUCAUAUCGUGUUAACAGAACCUCACGAGAUUACAGAACACGCAGAUACAUAGUCUUCAGGUUAAGCACAAGUGUAUGAACCUAAAGUUUUCAGCAAGCAGACAAGCAUUUGUGUUGGAAUCAUCCCCACCAAUUACGACUAGCCCAUCCAAAUCAAGCUUCUUUGCUGUUUCUUCAGCUUGCUUAAACUAAACAUCAUGAGCACACAAGAUUAGAUAUAUACCUGCAAUAAAUUAUUGCCAUGUUUUUCGGCUCAUGUCCUUCAUAACAAUUUGACGACAGACCAAAACGUUAGACAAGAACAAUUGUAAAUAAACAGAGUUCACCAACCUGUUCUGGAGUUUCAAUUUUGUCUCUGCCACUACAAAUCAUAUCAAAGCCACCCUGCCAAUGGAGUGCAUAGAAGAUCUUUAUUAUAAAAGAAUUCAUAAAGCAAUAAUAUAAGCACCGAUCAAAACCCUGACCUGGUUUCUAUAAGGAUAGAUGUACUCAGUAGAAAGCUCAACAUAUUUACACUUCAUGAUUCCUGCUGGACCGCCCUUAAACCCGUAAAGCUUGCUUCCGUUUGUGCGUUCCUGUAAAUAAUCUAAAAGCCACCAAAAAAAAAAAAAAAAAGGAAAAAACAAUAGAUCUUCAAAAUUACCCUUUUAAAUAUAAAUGAACAUAGAAAUUAAAAAAAAAAAACAAAAGCCUCUACCGAAAAUUCCAGAGAUGACAUUGUGUCCCCCAGGAGCCUGGCCUCCAGAGAGGACAACUCCGAUCUUCAAACUCUUGUUCUCCAUGGAACAUGCCUUGGGAUCACACUCCACCAGUCUUGCAGACGGCUGUCCGAAUAAUUUCGGAAACAACUUCUUUAUCUCCUCUGCAAUCACGUCCAAUGAGAAAAUAUACAACCAAUAUUAACACUUUUCACGUAAAAAAAAAGGCGCACAUGUCUGCAACGCACAUGUCUGCAUUAUAUAUAUAUAUAUAUGAGAUAAGGGGGACAAUACCGGGGUUGCCGGAGGCGGAGCUAGGAGCGCCAUCGACGACGUUAAAGGUUUUCUUGAGGACAGAAGGGAGGGGGAGGGAGACGUUCAAUCUGCUGGUUUGUAGUUCACUGUAAACAGAAGCAAGGCGACCGGGUCCAUCCUUUUUGACGGUGGGGGCGUUGGUGUUUGACAUUAUCGACGUGAUGAAGAGACAGCGGCUGAUAAUGAAUAGAGAGUGAUUAAAACACACUCAGAGCGAGAGAGAUCAGAGACGGCUGUUAGUGUUUUUUUCUUCUUCUUUUUUUCUUUUUCGGUGGUUUGGUUUUUGUAGAGCGUUCGUUAAGGAAAAGGGGCAAAAUCGACAUUGCAGUCUCCUCCCAUAUCGGAGUCGAUUUGGAUGGUUUGGUUAGGCUGUGAGUUCAUGAACGUAUCGAGUUCGAAAGGACGGCGUCGUUUUGGGUUGGGACCUGGAUUCAAAAGGUAGUAGUGUACUACAGCAGUCCAAAUUUAUAAGAAUUUUACGGGUUAACCAACUGUAUAAAUAGAAUAAAUUUUAGUUGCGAAUAUAUUUUAAAAUUUUAUAAAUGAUUGCGCGGCGCAUGACAUGAUAUUUCUUAUUUUGUGGGGACUUCAUUAUAUUAAUGCAUUAGAAAUAUUUAUUGUACGGUGAAGUAUGUGUUCACAUUUCAGAAAGUUUUGUCUUUUGUUGUGUACAAUACAUAAUUAGAACUAGCUAACUGAGUUAACUUAGAUGAAAAUUAAAUAUGUAUAUUAAUUUAUCACUUAUUAUUUAUUAAAAACUAUAUUUACAUUAAUGGUAAAUUAAUGAAAAUUAUUAAAUUAUAUGUAUGAAAUGUCAUUUACAUGUUCAUUACAUAGAUGAUAUUGAGUAAAGGUAAAUGGAACAUGUAAGUCAUGUUGUUUAUAUAUUUAAUACAUGGAUGGUGUCACCACCGUGAGUCAUGGGGGCCAACUGCUGUGGCUUGGCUUGGGGCCUUGUGCCGAGUCUUGGCAGCAUAUGGGUGUGCUUGUGGUGAGCACAAAAACAAGGCAGGGCUGGCUCGUUGGCUUGGGCGCGGUAGCAAGGCCCACACUGUGGCAUGGGCGCAAGAGCUGUGUGGGUGACGUACGCAACAACUGGCAAGAUUGAGGCGCAGUGGGCGCGCGGGCAUGGGGCACAGUGGGCGCACGGGGGUGAGGCCAAGGGGCGCGUGGGCGCGAGGCGCUGAGGCGCGCGAACAUGAGGCGCACAGGCACAAAGUGCCGAGACGCGCAGACGCGGGGCACAGCAGCGCGCGAGCGAGCAUGGCAUGGGGCGCGCGAGCGUGGUGCUUAGCAGCGCGUGAGUCAGUUGCUGGAUUGCGUGGGCAGUUGCAAGAUUGUGGCUUAGUGGCGGGCCAGAGUGCACACAAAUGUGCAGUGAUGUGUGGCAUGCAUGUGGGGGCCGAGUUAUGCGAAAAUGAGAGGCAUCGUGCAUGGAUUGUGGGCGGAUAGUGACUACGAGACGUGGAGCAUGGUUGGCCGUGAUUCUCCAAGAGGUGGGCUUAAAAUCAAGCAUGAGUGGGCGACAUGGCCUUCGAAUGCUAGAAAUAGGGAAACAUGGAAAGUGGGUAGCGGCAGUUACGCCCCACAACUUCCUUAUUUCGAGACUUAUGGGUAGCGGUUACUUUGUUCUUUAGGGGAGUGGAGAUGUGCUCCCUUGUACAUGCUUAGUGGGUGCGUAAAAACUUGGGGAGGGAUUUGAGGUGGCGUGUGGGUGGUGCGCCACCUAGCCUUAGCAAGUGGGGGUGUCACUUGCAAACCAUGUAUAUAGAUAGUGAUGGGGUGUAUGUGAGGGUGCGUGAGUUUUGUUGAGCAUUGUGUCCUUGUGCAUACAUUACUUGAGCUAUUUGUGAAUCUUUUCUUUUUGUGGAACAGAAAAGUUGGGGGUUGGUGCCUCCGUAGAAACCAAUACUUGUGUUUGGUGUUUGUGUGCGUGGUUAUUUUUUGUGUUGGCAAGAAAUUGCUCUUGUGUAACCUCCUUUGUGCGAGUGCUGACGCGCUUCCUACAAAUUGCUUCUGUUGGGUUUUUAGGUUGGCUGGCUAAGUAGAGUCUUAGCGCCAUCACGCGAGUUGCCACACGUGUUUUAAAAAAGCCCGGUGACAAUUUGGUAUCAGAGCAUGGUUUGCUCUGUUUUCAGAGGAAGCUUUAGGGUCAGAAUAGGCUCAACAAAUCAGUUUGCGGACGACUGAUUGUGUAGUUUCGGGGGUGAAACUAUUUUGCAAGAGUGUAGUUGUGUAAUUUCGGAGAAAGUCACAACGGCAGAAACCAACAUGACUGGGGAGUCAACAAAGGACACAGAAAUUAACUCCAUUGAGAUGGCGGGUGUAAAACAGACUUGUGCGGAGUUUGUGGGCGAGUUUUCAGACAAGCUGAAUAAAGUCAUGGAGGAUGUUGCUGCACUAGUAGAGGUAUUGAAAGGCAACAUCGGAGAUCUUGAAAAAGAGGUGGGUUUACUGAAAUGGGCAGUGAGCAACACUCCACGUGAAGAGGAGGGACCUUCGAAAGUAAAGGUGCCCGAACCGAAAGCUUACAACGAAACUCGGAAUGCCAAGGAGUUAGAGAAUUUUCUGUAGGAUAUGGAGCAGUAUUUUCGAGCUGCUCAUGUGCUCGAAGCGGAGCGGGUCACCAUUACCAGCAUGUACCUCGAGGGGGAUGCAAAAUUGUGGUGGCGGAGCAGACUUCAAGAAAAGACGCGGAAGUAUAGCGACCAACAAUCGAGACAUAGGACAUGCUCAAACGAGAGCUUAAAGGUCAGUUCUUACCGGGGAAUGCUAGUUGGCUUGCGAGGGAGAGCUUGAAGAGCUUAAGCAUACCAGUUCAGUGAAGGAUUACGUCAAGAAAUUUAGUUCGUUGAUGCUCGACAUCAAGAACAUGGUAGAUGAAGACAAACUCUUUAACUUCAUUUCGGGUUUGUAGCCGUGGGCGCAAACGAAGUUGCGGAGGCAAACUGUGAGGGAUAUACCGACGGCGAUAGCAGCUGCUGACGGCUUGGUUCAGAUUCGUGAAUGCUUUUUCUUCCGAAUCAAAGAAGUCCAAGGAGGGCAAGAAGAGCCAUUCUUCGCGUAAUGGUGGGAAAAAGAACAAUAGCCAGAGCAAAACCAAGCAAGGAAAUCCGCAAGGGAAAAAGAGUUCGGGGUGCUUCAUUUGCGAUGGACCACAUCGGGCCAAAGAGUGUCCGAAGCGUAAGAAACUGAACACUUUCGUGAAAGAGACUGAAGGGGAGUCUUUAAAACUUUCGGAGUCUGAAGUGGCAGCAACGCGCAUGAACCCGUUACAAUUGCUGAACAACACAGAAGUUGAGGUGGAAGAGGAGCUUAUGAGUAAUAAGGAGCUAGCGAGCAUCCUCACGGGCAAAUUGUACUAAGGGGAAUUGAUGUGUGCGAAGGUAAAGUUGAACAAAGUGGAAGUGAGGGUGAUGAUUGAUACGGGGGAAGCGACAAAUCUUGUAGAGGCGAAUUUGGUACCACGCCUUGGGCUGCAAAUUGCCUGAGCCAAUCUCGUUGUGGGUCUCACUUCACACCACCAAGUGGUUCUGAACGGCGUAGCUGUGGCCAACCUGAGUGUGGGAACUUGGGUGCGGGACACAUCAUUCGUGGUGAUGGCUAUGUCGAGGUAUGACAUGAUCUUAGGAAUGGAAUUUCUGUACAAUGCCGAGGUGCGUGUACAUCCUCACUUAUCUUGGUUUUGGAUUGGAGGCAUGGAGGAGCCUUGUAUGGUCGAAUGCGAAUACUUGAAUUCGAAUAGGCUGGAGACAUCACUUCCAGUUACGAAUCGUGGUUUAGUUGGAGGGAAUUCAGCGAUGAUGUCGUUGGUUAAAGAGCGCGUUCGAGUUGCGGACAAGCUUGACGAGUAUACCAUAAUUCUACGGGAUUUGUAGUUGGAGAGUCACAAGGGCCUUAACUAAACAAGUUUUCGGAUGAAGACACGAACCAAGAUGAAGGGGAAUUGGAAGCUAAGUCCCUAACGGAGGGUUCCGGUUGCUGGAAGACUCAUGACAAUGAGAAUGAAUGAAUCAUUCAAAGUGGUAUUGAUUGUGGUGAGUUCUUGCUGAAUAAGGGGAAUUGCGGGUGCUUUCGCAAGGAAGCGUAGGGCUUAAGGCACUGUAAGUCACCAAGCGGGGUUCCGGUGAUAACUUCACAAUGGGCGGUUUAGCUCGUGUUAGUGUUGUUUGGGGUAGCAGCAAUGUUCCCUGUUUAUGGAUGCGCAUGUGAGAGUCAUUAGUAUCAUGUGUUGGGCAAGGAAUUGUGAGGCAGCAGGCUGAAGAAGAGAGGAGCAUGUGUGGCUGCCAAAUCCGUGGAUACUUCAAGUAUCCUCGACUACAAAACAGUAAGGAUGGGGCUUUGUUACGGAGUCUGCGAUGUAUAUAAGUAAGGGCUUGGGCAGGCACAAAGACUUGAUAGAAAUCAAGAGGGAAGAAUCAGCAGCGAAGGAGACAUUCUCGGAGAGAAUGGCCGGUAGAAGUGUCACUGGCACGGAGUCAUUGCUUGGGGGAAAGAUGAUUCCACAUGGGCAGAACAUCCGAGGGACUAAGGGAUGGUGCAGCGAAUGCGUGGUGAGCCCAACAUUGGCACGCAGGUGUGUGUCAAAGAGAAAGAAGCAUUGAUGUUGUUGAUUUUUUUAUCAAAUGCUAUUGAUGUCAAUGUGCAAGUGUACACAACAAGUAAUAAAGUGAUGAAUAUUCAAGAUCGUCUCCAUAAGGAUUGAUGUUACUAGAAAUGCUACGGCAAUCACAAUAGUAUAAUCUACCUUUAUGCCGAGAUGAACAAAUGUAAAGUUGGUUACUAUUGAAAUUGAUAAUUGUGAGAGAAUAAAAUAAAACAAAGCAAUGAUGAAAUAAAUUAAAUAAAAAUGCGUUGAAGAAUCAAAUGAGAAUAAGAUAGUUGAAUGAUCAAACUCUCUUUAUGGGCUGACUGCUUUUCAUCAAGUUAAUACCAGUUGCUACAACAAUUUCUAUAGCACUGGGCAUAAUUAUUUUGCAUCCUCAGUUGUCGCAUAUUGGAAUUCUCAUACCCUUAAGUAUCUUAGCAAUGACCAAUUACUAUUCUACCUACAUCAUGGUACUAUGAACAUCCAUUCUCUCCGCCCUACAAGGUGAAUACCUAUGUCUAGUUUAUCACAAAUCUUAACUUCAAGUAAGGCCCUUAUGGGAUUCAAGAUAAACUUAAUCUAGGAAACUUAAAUUAAAAUCAAGUAUUACUCUAAUAAUAUCCACUAAGACAUGUUAUUUUGCGGCUCUAUCUUAACUUGAACCAUUAAAUGGGUGGUCAACCAAAAUAACAGUUAUAAUAAUAACUACUAGAGUAAAAUAUUAUAGCAAUUAUAUAGCAACUCAUAAGAACAAUCAAGAACCCAUUAGAUUAUUUGUCACUCAACUACAAGUAAGUUUAGUUCAUAUUCUGAAAGAGAAAAACAAACAGCAAGAUAUUGGUCACGAAAUACAUUGGUUUAAUCAAAGAGUGAAGAAAGAAUAAGUGAAGAACGAUAGAUAGUGAAUCCUAAUAACUCUGCUGGAUUCUUCAAUGAUGCGGCCUCGGUUCCCUUGAAUUCUGAUCUUCUUCUUCUUUUUCUCUCCAAUUUUCCCAAUGAUAAUUCAUUGCAGCCGUUUUAUGUGAUGCGCGCCUCUUUUUAUAACUGAAAACUAGGAUAAACAAAGGCCUCGGGCGUACAUGAGUCAAAUUAGAAAACUGCAGAUCUCAAUUCUGCAGCUAACCCGCGCUAAGUUUUCUCCCUCGGUGUUCCAGGAUUGCUACAGCAAUGGUCGCUCCAGCAACGACUAUAGCAUUGCACUGUUCCCGGUUGUGAUUCACUUCUUUUGUGGCCAUAUUCUUUCUUCUUCUUGCUAGCCUAAUAUCUCAGCAUCCCUUCAUGGAUUAUAAACUUUUGAAAACCUACAAUUAUGCACAUGUUUUGAGCACAAAUUACUUUAAAUCAAGUAAAACUUAUUAAGACUAAACUAAAAUGGAUGUUUAUGCAAAACAUAACCAAAAUAUAAUAAAAACACAUCUUUUACUCUCUAAGUGGUCUUGAUUUAAGUAUAGAAUUGCUGUAAUAACUCUCAUUUCAUAGAGUUAUCAAUUGGCUUUGAUAUGGCUUUGUGUGGGGGAGGUUAAGGCCGACGAGGUUACCUCGCCGACGAGGAUGUCGUGCAUUUUAGGUGGGGGAGGUUUGUCACCACCGUGAGUCAUGGGGGGCCAACUGGCGUGGCGUGGCUUGGCUUGGGGCCUUGUGCCAAGUCUUGGCAGUAUAUAGGCGUGCUUGUGGUCAGCGCGAAAACAAAGCAGAGCUGGCGCAUUGGUUGGGGCGCGGCAGCAAGGCGUACGCAGUAGCAUGGGCGCAAGCAAUGUUGGGCAGCGCGCGCAAGAACGUGCGUGGGUGGCGUGCGCAACAACUCGCAAGACUGAGGUGCAGUGGGCACAUGGGCGUGAGGCCAAGGGGCGCACGGGCGCGAGGCGCUGGGGCGUGCAGACACAAAGCGCCGGGACGAGGUGACACGGGGCAUAACAGCGCGUGAGCGAGCAUGGCAUGGGGUGCGCGAGCGUGGUGCUCAGCAACGCGUGAGUCAGUUGUUGGAUUGUGUGGGCAGUUGCGGGAUUGUGGCUUAGUGGCGGGCCGAAGUGCACGCCAAUGUGCAGCGAUGUGUGGCAUGCACGUGGGGGCCGAGUCAUGCGAAAAUGUGAGGCAUCGUGCGUGGACUAUGGGAGGACAGUGACUGCGGAACGUAGAGCAUGGUUGGCCGCGAUUCUCCAAAAGGUGGACCUAAAAUCAAGCAUGAGUGGGAGACAUGGCCCUGGAACGCUAGAAAUGGGGAAACAUGAAGAGUGGGUAGCGGCGGUUACGCCCCACAACUUCCUUAUUUAGAGACUUAUGGGCAUCGGUUGCCUUGUUCCUUGGGGGAGUGGAGAUGUGCUCCCUUGUACAUGCUUAGUGGGUGCGUAAAAACUUGGGGAGGGAUUUGAGGUGGCGUGUGGGUGGCGCGCCACCUAGCCUUAGCAAGCAGGGAUGUCACUUGCAAACCAUGUAUAUAGAUAGCGAUGAGGUGUAUGUGAGGGUGCGUGAGUUUGUUGAGCAUUGUGUCCUUGUGCAUACAUUACUUGAACUAUUUGUAAAUCUUUUUCUUGUUGCGGACUAGAAAAGUUUGGGGUUGGUGCCUCCAUUAAAACCAAUACUUGUGUUCGGUGUUUGUGUGCGUGGUUGUUCUUUGUGUUGGCGAGAAAUCGCUCUUGCGUAACCUCCUUUGUACGAGUGUUGACGUGCUUCCUACAAAUCGCUUCCGUUGGGCUUUUGGGUUGGCUGGCUAAGUGGACUCUUAGCGCCAUCACGCAAGUUGCCACAAGUAUUUUGAAAAAGUCCGGUGAUAGAUGGCAUGUCAAGCUUUUUACUUCGAAACAAAAAUUGUAUGGUUCGUUGCUUAUAAAUUCAUUAUAUAUACAGGGACGGAGGCUUUAUAGGACCAUAGGGGGCCAUGACGCCUACUAGCUCUUGAAAAUUUUUUGAAAGUUUUAUAUGAAAUAUUAAACAUUAGGUUUAAAAAUAUCAAUUUGUCCCCUGUACAUUUGAUAUAAAAACUUACUAUAUAUGAAUCUUAUAUUUUGUGAAAUAAAAUUACAGUGGCUCGAUUGUUUGAUUUUCAUUUUAUUAAAUACUUUUCCAUUCUAACAAAAUGAUAAAUAGCCUUUUAAAAUUUGAUAAAAUUUGGGCCCAACUUUUUUAUCUUAUUUUGCUAAUCACUUUUUCAUUUUAUUUUUCAUUUAUAACAAUUGCCUCAUUUAUCAAUCAAAGUUACUGUAACUACAACCAAAAUUCUAAAAUUUUCAACACUACACCUCAACCACAAAUAGAAGAUUUGUCUAAAAUUAAUCUAUUGCAAAUAAUUGAAGCUUGAACUAGGUUACCCUAGAAAUUUACUCCAAGUUUCGUCCCUAGAUAUAGGUUGCAUCUCAUACACUUAAGGAUAUGGUAUGAAUUGUCAUUUAUAAUUUAACCACGUAGAUGACAACAUGUUGUAAUUAAUCCUUUGGAGUAAAAGUUAUAUCACCAAAAACAAUGGUAUCUUCAAUUAGAGCCCCUCAAGGAUGUAAAAUAUCAUUUACAAUUAAUGACAAAGACAACAUGCCAAAAUCAGGGGCGUUUCCAGGACUUAUUAUUACCCCGGGUUAAAUUUUAAAAUUUAUAUUUUGAAACAAACAUAAAAAUUUAUAAGUAGAAAGAAGUACAUUAAAUAAGGGGGAACAUUAAGAACUCUAUCCCCAUAAAUACGUAUUAUAAACAAAAAUAAUUAUAAAAAAGAGUAGAAAACAAAAGAUAAUUUAAAUAUCAAAACACUAUUUUUCAAUUAUGGAAUCUGACGUUGCAACUUAUAAUAACAUGUAAUUAUAUAAGGAUUAAGAAAUCAAUUAAGAAUUCCAAACUAAAAUAGAUUAAUAUAUGUAAUUACAAUCAAUUAAAAAUUACAAGUAAAACUCUUAUGUUCGAAAUCAAGUAUUAAAUUACCAGGCUUAAUAAAUUAAACAAUUAAAAUUUAUUCAUCCAUUCAAAUUAUAAAAGUAUUAUUAGUUAAAAGUUUUAAUAAUAGACUAAACUCAAUUCAGCAAAAAAAGGUACUUGGAUGCUGUUGUUUCUUUAUCAGGUGCUCUAUCUCUUUUUAAAGAAUUAGAUGUUGAUAAUCCUUCUAUCAAAAACUCCUUAAAAUAUUCAAAUUUUUAUUUUCUAAAAUAAAAUAAUGUUGAUAAUUCAUAUAAAUAAUUUAUGAAAAUGUUGAUAAUUGUUACUAUAUGUUGUUUUUAUAAGUAUUUUUAAUAUCAUUGAUGAUGUUAUAUUACAUUGACAUACUUUUUUUUCAAUUAGAAUUUUUUAAAAUAAAUUAAACCAGUAAUAAAAUUUUAGCCCCCUAAUAUUUACAAUCUAUUCAAUAAAUAUAUAAUUUAAUCAUUUUAUAAAAUAAGUCACUAAUUUCAAAUGAAAAUAAUACAAUCGAAUUACGUACAUAUUUGAAAAUAAAAUAAAAACCCUAUUAUUAUAUGAAAUUGAUGAAAACAUAAGGGUCAUUGAGUUAGGGACAUAUUUGAAUAUAAAAUAAAAACUCUGUUGUUAUACUAAAUUGAUGAAAUCAUAAGGGUAACUGAAUUAUGGACAUAUAUGAAAAAAGUAAAAAUUCUAUUAUUUUACUAAAUUAAUAAACAAAUUUUUCUGUACAGCUUGGUCUAGCCCACGCAUAAAUUCGCCACUGGCUGAAAUUAUUCUCAAUAUUUAUAUGAUAACCUAUUUAUUUAUUCAACAUAUUGAUGACAUGACAUAUUAUUCAUUAAUUAAAUUAUUUAAAUAAAAUUAAUUUAAGGUAAGUUGUUUUACAUUAGUACGUCUAAUAAAUUACACUACAAGAAAAAAUGGUGUUCAGUAAUAUGAAAACAAUAUUAAGUUUGUAACAAAAUUUGCCCUAAUACUUCUACACUUUGACUUUCAUUAUUUUCCUACCUACAAUCGUGGCAUGACAUAUUGAAUUAAUUAGUAUGCUACAUAAAUUAAGUCUUGGACAUUUAGAAGAAAAAAAAUACUCAUAAAUUACUUUAUUAUUGCAUGCUACAAUUAACUUGACAACAUAUUUGGUCCACUCAUCACGAAGUUAUGGAAGAUCAUCCAUAGUGUACUCAUCACAUCCCUUAAACUUCAAAUCUAAAUACUAAGUCAGUAUAUAUUACAAACUUCAGAACCAAAAUAGUAAUAUACAACCAACCGCUCAAUAUUUUCUAGAGAUUACAAAAAGAAAGAACAUACAAAUAAAUAGUACCUAACUGAACAGUACCUAUUUAAGACGCCUAACUAGCUCAAAAUUAAUAGUAAUCAUUUUUAUUAUUUAAAUAUUACCUUAGAAGCACAGCAAAAGACAUUAAAAAUUAGUUAACUCCACCAAAUUCACAAUCACCAGUAUAUAAGUAAAUAACUAAUUAAACAUGGUAUUAAAAUAACAAACGCCUCACCAAGGGAUGCAACAUGUCUUCGUAACCCAAUCACGCGGGCACUUAUUUUUGGUACUCUGUCAUUUAAACUACUGAACCUAUAGACAAUCUAAUUUGGCCAUAAUAGAUGUGAUUAAGUAGUUUACUGAACGAUAAACCAUCCUUUAUAAAGAGAGAAAAAACAAACCAUAGAUCAUAUUGUUUUCUAAAAUGAUCAAAUUUCAAGUAAUAUCUUGAAUGUACUUCAUGACACAACACGUACAUCUAAAGGUACUAGCUUGAAAUAGAAGCCAAGCAUUACAAAAUUUCCAAAUGGAAGGCAAGGUCUAAAAUUUGAAGUCAAUGCAUCAUUAAUAGGGCUAACUAGCAAAUAGAAAAGCUAUUAUUACAAAAUUCAUCUUUUGAGUUAUGGAUUAUAAUAAUAAUUAAAAAUACUCAAAAUUAAUUAGACUAGAAAUCUUAGAUUUUCAAUUUCAGAAACAGAUCCUAAUAAUCAAGAUAUCGCUUCACCAACACAAAACUCAAAUAAAUCGUAAGCCCUACAAAUCGAUAAUGGGGCUAAUUAUAAAUUAAAUCAUUUCAAUAAGAAAAAGGAUAAAAGAAAAAAAAAACACUAACCUUUAAGAACAUUCUCAAAUACAAUGAAAAAAGAUUUAUGAUUUUGGUAUUUUAUUUGCAGUCACAGUGUGGACACAUAUUUUUUUCUCCCUGAAAAAUAUCAAAAGUUAGCAGAUUUUCACUAAUCAAAUUCAACUGGAAACAUUGACAACAUGAGUUUCAAAUUUUCUUUAAAAUUUAUUACUUCUUGAAUGUUAUGAAAACUUAUAGAACAUUUUUAGACAUGUCAAUGCUUUACAUAUAAAAUUCUCAUGUCAUUUGCACAACUCUAUAUUAGGUUUUUGUGUGAUAAACUAUAAGUCAAAACUACUUAUGAAACCACAAUAGCAACAAUAGGUUUUUGGAUAUUUAUAUAUUUAAAUUACUAAAUAUAUCGGAAUGAUACUUUCUAGAUUUUAAUUGGACAUAUGAUUCAACAACAUAUUAAAAUUUGAGGAAUCAUAUCACAUCAAUAAAAACAAAAAAGUCUUAAACUUAGGAAAACAAUUAUAAUCAUCAGUAGCAAUAUGAUUAGUUAGGAAUCAUAUUAAAAUAUACAUAUUAUAAAAAAACAAUAAACUUACUUUUCACUUUUAAACUAUCCAAAAGUAUAAGUCUUAAGCACUUGAAGCUAUAAAGACAUAACUAAUCGAUGAGGUGAUUCAAGAACUAAAAUCUCAAAUUCACCAAUUUCAUUACCAUAACCUAAGUGAUUUAUAAAUCAUAAACCACCCAACAAUGAAAAUGGUUUUACGAGACCAAAUGAGGAUGAGAUUGUUAUUAAACACCUCUAGCCUAAAUUUACAAAAUCAUUCACUUAAAACACUAAAAUAGAAAAAUCAUUCACUUUAGUAAGCAACAAAACCCUAGAUUUCCUAAGAAAUACAAAGUUUCAUUCACACUUAGUAAUCACAUAAAUCAAUUAACACAUAAACACUUAAACAAUAUGAAUACAGAGGGAGGUAAAUAUCUACCAUGAAGCUAAUUUGAUUCUUAAAAACCUAAUUUUUCCCAAAUAAUUUUACAGUUUCCUCAUGAUGCCUUCUAAAUUUUGACAUUAUAUUCUUCGCCUUAUGAUCCAUUGAAUCAGUAUUAUUCAAAAGCUGAAUGGAUUUUAUGGUAGAUUAUUUAUAUAAAAAAAAACUCAAAAAGAAAGAAAAAGAAUAUCAGAGUAUCUUCCUUAUUUUAGCACAGGCCUUCAUAACCAAUAGAUUCUCUAAGUUUUAUAUGGUAAGGUGCAUGAAAAUGAUAAAAAUUAUAAUAAGAGUAAAGUGGGGAUUAGAUGAGAGAUAUUGACAGAUUUUUAUUUUUAAUUUUUAGUGGGGUUAGUUAAGACGUGAAGGUUGAUGAGAUAAACUGAGGAGCUCAAAUACCAUCAUUCUUGGUGAUAAUGUGUGGACCAAACAUGAAUUAUAUUAAAAUUUGUUAGCGUAAUUCAAUUCUAAACUUUUUAUCUCUGAAUCAAAUGCACUCUUAAUGAGUAUUAAAGCUUUUUACGUGUAUAUUGUGACGUAUUGACGGUGAGUUAUCUUUCAAUUUAUAUCUGUUUACGAGGGUAAUGCUUGUGGGUUAGCAAAUGGGAUAGACGGUAGAUUGAGAGGUCAAAAGGAAAGAAAAUGAUUUUAAAAAAAUCCAUAAUGCACACAUUGAGUUUUAUUUUUUUAUUUCUUAUAAUUUUUUUUUCUUUUUCAUUUUCUUUGUAUAAGAAAUGGGCUUUAGUGAAUUGCAGUCUCCAAAACCAAAUGAGCCCACGGGCUAAAGAACCAAAAGAGAGGGCAGUUCGUUUUGCUGGAUGAACAGAACGCAUAAAAUAAAUAAAUUUGAGCAUUUGGAAUCAUAAAACUUCUUAUCAUAAACAUUUAAUUAAUUAAUACAUACUUAAAAAAAAAAAUUAACACAUCACAAGAUCUUUUAUUUACCACAAUGCUUAAUAGGGCACAUAAAAGAAUUCUUAAAAUUAACUAAAUACAACCUGGCAAUAUAUUGUUACAUAUUUAAGCUCAAAAGCAAACACCAACUAGAGCUCCAUUUUUCCCUCAGCAAUCCAAUUGUUCUCCAAAUCUUCAACUUUCCCAUCAUUGAAAUUCUCAAGCUCUUUAUCUCCCUUAACACGAUGCUGCACAUUAUACUGAUGCUUCAUUGCAAAGAAAAGAAACACCAUGAAAUUCAAAAGUCCUAGCACUGCAAGUAGCCAAUAGAAGUUGUUUAACUUCCCUUUAUUCAAAUUGCUUCUCAGCCAGUGCUUAUUGGUUAUUUUGUCAACAAUAGACACCAACAUGCUGCUAACAAACAUCCCCAUUGAAAUGGCACUUAGAAACAGCCCUGUGCUCAUUGAUUUCAUCCUCUCUGGCCCUUCCCUAAUGAAGAACUCAAGUUGUCCCACAUAAACAAAAGCUUCGCCUGCGCCGACAAGAAAGUA
rnacentral:lncRNA from 1 species